UUUUUUUUUUUUUUUUUUUUUGUUAAUACAAGGCAAAUUUACAAUUUUUUUUCCCUACAGCGUCAUGAGUCAUAAGUCAUACACCUGAAAUUAAAUUAAUUUUCCCCUAAUAUAAUUAAUUACUAAAAGCGUACAAUUACUAUAAGUCCCAGCAGCGACUUCUGAGUUUGGAACCCGAACAUUGGUAUAACAUUGCCUGCUACCCUUGGACGGACUGCAACUAAAUUCUACUUUCUACUUCUCUCAGGCAUUUCAGGAUGAAAUCUGUUCGGCCCUUUGUGUUGAAACCUCAUCAUCAGGACACUAGAAUGCAGAGUUUGUGGACCUUGCUUAUCUUGGCUGGAAUCUCCAGUUCCACUCGGACUUCCUGACCUGAAACUUAUUUUGCAAUUCGAAGCUUAUAAUGGGAAAAAAUGCUCAUCUACCAGAGCAGAAUGUUAUUUCUUGUACAUGGAAGGAAAAAGCCAAAGGUAUAGUAAUUAGGAGUAGCUAGCCACCCUUCAGGAAGAGGCUGGCCACUGAACAACGAGAGACCGGAACAGCAGCAAUCGGUGAAAUGUAAGUCCCUACCAGUACUUGACUGCCCGCAAGGCGAUCAAGAAAAACUCUGGUUAACAUCUCUUUAUUCAGCUCUUUCACUAAAAAAUGAAUACUGAUCAUGAACAAGCAAAUGAUGAAUAAUUACAUUUAUCCUAGAUCAAUGGCAGAGGCAUAUAACAUAAUGAAAUCUCAUGCUGGCUGGCUGGCUUCUUGGCAACUAGAAUUUGUUGAAAAGAUAUUGCCAAAAAGCACAGAUAGUUGCUACUUACGGCUUCUUCACCCGAAGGCUUGGAGUGCUCAAUGUCCUGCUGGAUCGUAUUCCUCUUUCUUUUCGCGGAUGAGCACGAAAGCACAUUUGCAUGUGAAAAAAAGUAGCAGCCCGCUGAGAGAGAGGAGCAUAAUGAACUCUACCACAAGUGCUGAUCCCAGGGCUGCAGUGCCACGCACAUCAGAGCCAAUAGCAGUUCAACAACUAUUUACUCCGGUAACAAAUCUCUACAAAUGCUAAAUAUCUGGCUACUGCAGGUUAUUGCACACUUCAAACGAAUUGUGCAGGCAAUAAGAGAUUGGAGCUUACCAUGAGCUAACAGCGAACUCAUUGGCGGUCUUCUUAUUAGACUUAUUGUAGCCUCAGCAAAUAAUGGCAUUGACAUCAUUUGCUCGCAAUUCGGGCAACACCCAUAGUUUCCCAUAUCAUUUACUCUCACAGUCAGAACAUCACCAUGUUUGCCACCCUGCAGAAGUUGUCAGUUAAUCCCAAAUAGAAUACCAACUGCAUGAGAAAAUCCUAGUUUUCCAAUGAUGCUUACAUGAUACAUCAAUUGUUCAAUUAUACUGUUGCAGUCAUUAAUAGUCCCUCGGACUCUAAUGCCUUUUGCUUUCACCAUAAAAUGUUUAGAGAUGGUAACAAAUGUCAGAAGGGGCUGCCACUGGUAACUUGUCUUUAGCUUCAGUUCAGUCGUGGCUACAAGCUCAGCAGGAAGACUUGUAGAUAGAACUCCAGAACUGACUUCAAAAGAGAUGAUGACUAAAAAGUGAGACCUGUUACCUGAAAAUCAGCCAAGUAGAAAAUCAGGCACCAAUAUCCUGUCUGAUAAGCUUUUGGACUCUCAAAGGUAAGUCUUCUACAUCGUCUGAUGAUCAAGUUUGUUUUUCCAGAAUUUUCCAUAUAAACCGAAUGCCCUCUGCGUUUCCAGAGUAAUCAGCACUUUAUAGGUAACUAACGGUACAAAUUAGAGACUAGCAAGAACCGAGCAUUUUAGUGCAAUUCCAACAACAAAUAAAACUUGAUGUUAAUGAGGUAAUGUCUAUUAGAGCUGGCAAGCUGUUAUCCAAGAAAGCCAGAAAAAAUGUGUUUUGACAUUGCACAUAUAUGCAUCAUUUCAUACACAAAAUCAGCUUAGCUGUCAUAAUUUGAUCUUACAUGUUGCGUAUACUUCUAUACUGCAUAAGCUGUCUUGUAAAUGAUCUUACUUAUACUGUCAAGUUUUGCAAUAUUGAAAAUUUUUUAUUUUUAAAUGCUAGAGUCUGUCUAUGAAGCGACUAAAUUCAAUGCGUUUGUACUGUCUUGCAUACCAGGGAAAUUUGGAAGAUCUGGAUCCCCAAUACUGAAGUCAAAUUUGUCUUUCUUUCUAUCAAAAAUAAGUACAUCUCCCGAAUCUUCAAGGAAAAUAAAUGCAGGGGCAUUGAUAAAUGGAUGGUCAUUAAUAGGUUCCACAAAUACAGGAACUUUAACACUGUUCUUCCCAUUUCUGUUCAUGGUAGAGACUUGGAUUGCAUCAUCACCGCAAAAGUUCUCAUCCCUGCUUCAAGGUAACAAACAGCUCAUCUUAAUGCAGCACACUUAAUGAUGUUUAACCACAAAGAGUCAUGCUGUGCAUUUUUUUCCCUUUUUACUUUGUGGGGAGAAGGUGAGAUGAAGAAAGAGAGAGUACUCUCACUUGAUAAUUCUGAUGGAUGCUUAAAAGAAAGUUUGCUGCUUUGCAGAGGCUUAAUAAAAGACAGACGAACUUAUGUUGCUACAAAUUCAUUCCCACAAGGCCUACAUGACACAUCAUGCAUUUCGAGAAGGAAAAUUAAGUGAGGUGUCUGUCUUACCCAAAGUACCGGAUUGCUUGAAGGGCAGAGUUAAUUACAUCCACACGACCAGCCAAAAUCAACUCUUUGGCCUUCUGAUGAUCUAUUUUUACUGAUAAUUCACCCCAGAGCGGCUGCCAAAAUUGCAUUAGCAUUGGAGACAGGAAGACAGUUCCAUACUGUGCAUUAAGAAUAACCGUGAUGUUCUCAUCCAAAUCUGAGUAUGCAAUCUCAAAUCCAGAGAAACCACUGCACACAGAGCAGGCAAGAAUUUUGAUGUCUUUUGAGAGCAGUAGUUUAAAAGUUCUAAGAUAUGUUCUUCAUUUUUUCAAAGCUAAAUCUACUAUAAAGAAAGGCAACAUACCCAAAUCUGGGACUAAUUAGAUCCUCCGUUCCGUGCAAUUGACUUGGAAAGGAGACAAACUGAGGUGGAAUACUAAGGAUAUCUAUAUUGACAGAACCAGAAGCUACGUUGCCAUUUACAUCACAGAUGGUAUACACGAAAGAAUCAUUUCCAUUAAAUCCUUUGUAAGGUGUGUAUCUGAAAAGACCUCCAUACUGCAGAAGGGAACCAUGAUCUGGCUGUGACAAGUAUCAUUUACAACAGUAAGUCCUCCAAACAGAAAAGUGCUCAAUUGCCUUAACAAGUACCCAAGGUGUGGUCUUACAUAUGCUCACUCUGUGCGAGUGAAACACUUCUCGACAUGACAAUGUGAAUGGCCAAAAGCUAGUUGAACAAAUAGGAAUCAUGUAUUCUCUUUUAUUUUAAAAGGUAGAACCCAAAAUUAAGAUGGACAGUCACUCACACAAACAUAACGUUAUAGUUUAUGCAGGUCAUGAUAUGUUAUGGACACGAGGUUUCAUCCAACAUAAUUACGCAGCUUACCCUCGAAUAUUCUUUUAUACUAGCAUUGCCACCUGCAAAGUAAUCAUUGUCUAGAGCAUCAACUGCAGUUGACUCAUCCUCCCAGACAGGGACUGUAUCAUUUAAAACUUUAGGAAAAUAUUCACCUGAAAAAAAAAAAAAGAAUAAAUCAGUUAGAUGGAGAAUAUAGAAGUAUACAAAAAGAAUGCAACAAGCCCUUUAGAGAUGGAAGACACCAUGAGAUCAUGACCAGCACCAAAAGAUAUCAAGCACCACAUUGAUAUUUCGAAUGAGGACAGUAAUUGUUGUCACCUGUAAUUACUAAAACCAAAGAAAGUGUUCUUCCAAAUAUAAACCAAACAUCUACAGACAUACUUGUAUAAACAUUCACGCCAAUUGGACAUGGCGUGAAAUGCUGUCCAUCAAAUGAAGCGCAUAUCUCAUAGGUGCCAACGUCCUUAGCCAAGAAACUACCAGUAUAAGUUCCGUCUUUGUUGUCAACAAACAUCAUUGUCGAAAAGCCAGAUCUAUUGACUGAAGCAACCUCAAGUUUCAAUUUUGACUGCUCUGACAGAACUGGAUUGGAGUAUGAAUCCAGGAGCUGUAUAACUACUUCACUUUUUGCAAGCUUCGGUACUUUUGAAGCAAACUCCACAACCCCUGAAAGGGAUAGAUUCACCUUCCCUGGAGAACAGAUGAAUCAGUAUGCCACACGCAUUUUGAAUUAAAUAUCAAAUGCAUCAAAGCAGAAAAGGUAGAAAAAAUGCCAUCUGAAACACAGUAAGAGAUAUUCACCUGAAAUAUAUGGGGGAAAAAACCCACGUUAACAACAUUUAUAUAAAGCAAGAAUUUAAAAGUUCUGUUUCAAAUUAUAAUGAGUACUUUUACAUAUUAAGUAGUAAAUGCCAAACUUCCCAAAAUCUAAACUGACUGGAUAUACAUUACAAGGCAUGAAUCACUAAAUACUUUUUGCAUUUUCUAUUGCUUAGACUAUGUUUGCACAUUCAGGGGGUUAAGACAUUACUUAAUCACCCCAAAUUAAUAUAUACAGUACUUUACAAUGUACCUGCACUUACUACCUUUCUGAAGGGAUUGCCACCAUUUAGUGGAACAUUUCCACAAAAGAUAGAGAUUUCAUACGUCCCACUCUUUUCAGGUACAAAAGCGACCUCAAAGUUACUUGCGCUGAACCUUGUGUUCUCGGUAGACUACAUCCACAGCUAACAAUUAUCACUGUCUUCAAUGUGGUACAUAUAGCAAAAAAUUUUAAAAUGAAAACCUGAAUUUUACCUUAUUUUUUGCACCAUCAGUUGAAGGAGUAAGUUUGUCAAGUGUUCCAGCAAAAGUACCUGUUAUAGCAGUCAAGCUCAUCUAUCAAAGUGACAACAAGAUGGUGUAUAUUGAAGCAUAAACUAGAUGCUCAUUCUCAUACCCAUUUCGGCUUUCUUUGGACGUAUCCUUGGUCGUAACUGUUUUAAACUGGAUUCAUGCAGAAUUUUUACUUGCAGCAUAUCUAAUUCAGCUGGAGAAGGAUAUAAAUAGGCAUCUCUCAAGAACACAGAAAAAGUUGAAACUUCUCCAGCAAAAGAGUGAUUUAAACCAGUUCCAUUGACAACGCUGUUUGUCCCAUCACAAUAGCCUGCUCAGUUUCAGAAGUUACAAGAAUAGGAGUUACAGGUUCAGAGCGGAACAAGCUAGCUACUCUUAUUUAAACAAGAUGAGGUAAUAUAAUGACAAAACUUUUUCCUAGCAGAAACAGAGAAAACACGUCUUUUACAUAAAUAUAAGAGUCCAUCUAAACGUAAAGAUACUAAAUGAAAGCGCUUUUAUAACAACCUUUCCAUAGUGCAGGUAUGAGAUCAUAUAUACACAUACAUUUGAUGUCUAUAACAAGCAAGCCUCCAAGUCUCUAGUAUAUUGGGUACGUUGAGGGUAUGUGUGGGUGUGUCUGUGCAAAACCAGGGAAGGGGGAGCAAAUGUUACGGCAAAAUGGCUUUGGAGUCCAACAGCUGACAUCAUGAAGUAAUUUCCAAAAAGGUUCUUGAAAUUUUUAGAUAAUCUUAAUGACACAAGCAUUUUUGUGCCUUCACAGAAAACAUAACCUGCCAAUUUCCAUGUUCUAUUUCAAGUUUCCUUUUUACUAUUUUAAUCCUAUCUUGAAAACACCCUUGAAUCUCUACAGAUUUCCUUCUACUGUUAGUUGCAGUAGUUGACUUCUGCAUGUGCAAUCUCUGGCAAACUUCCACAGCCAUACGUGUAAAAAUAUCACCAGCUAACAGAAAAAUAUCAGGCCCCAUUCAAUCAAUUUGGAAAAGUAGAUUUCAUAUCCAUGUUUGUAUCUACAACAUAAGGUACUUAAUAAAAGCCAAAGAGUCUAGAUCAAUACCUACAUAGACUUUGAAGUCAUAUGGCACGUUAGAGAUGAGAGUGUUGUGCUUAUCAGAGAUCAUGAGCAUGAAGUUCCCAGGCUCAACUAGACUGAAAGAAAAUGACUGAAUACCCAGCCCAACAUCUUCGAAAACCAGAUCCGACACUGGCAUAGAUAAGUUUGUCCCCUUCUGCACAACUUCAACAUCAAAUGCAUACGAUCCAGGGACAAGAUUUCCAUAAGAAUCAUGCUGGUGUAUAAAAGCUUCCAUCAUUGAGAACAGUUGGAAGGCUUUUGUUUCAAUACGCCAGCGUACUAAACAAUUAGCAACAUCUAAAGUUCCUGUACAGAACAUUCAGAAGGGGUAUAAACUACAGAGAACAAAGCAAAGAUCUACACAUGAUGCAGUACAACUUUGAGACGAUAUAAAGUAGAAUCAGCAGCAUUUCAUUAGUUCAAAUGUCUUAAGGUGUACCAUCCAACUGUUAUUAAGAUGCGAAGUUUUUGGUACUUUGUAUAUUUAGAUGAGUGGCUGGGACCCAAGAAAACACAGCAGUGACAUGGACUUCCACAAGAACAAUGCAUUUAAAUAUGAAGAGCAAGUGCCUCUUGGAGUAAUGUGAAAGGCAGAAUGCAAUGCCAUAAUCUAAUAUUAGAAGAGUUACACGCCCAAAACGGAAGGAAGAGAUUAGAGAAUAACUGCAACACCAGUGAAUGAUGCAUUUGACCAGGCAGGAGAUUUAGCUAAUUCCAUUAUUUACUUAAUAAAAUGAUGAAGUUUGAAAUAAAUAAUCGCUACCUCUUUUAACCCCUAUUUCACAUGCACACUCAAUGGGCCUUUAAAUCUUAAGUUUCAUACCGCCCCCCGCCCCCCCCCCUCUCCUCAUCUGAUAAAAAUCACCAAUAAACUUCUGCAGGCAAAUACAGCACAGGCAGAGAAUCCAAAUGAUGAAUUGUUAAAUAAGAUGCAGUUGUUGGAGGAGCAGGAUGGAAAGGCAGAGGUACGUAUUUGCCUUUUCAGGACUCGCAAACCACAUCAUAAGUUAAUGCUUAGGAAAUCACCUGUUUUCACCUUGAAUGGCAAUGGGGAGCCAGUCAACGUUUGAUUUUUCUCUCGAACAUGAAGUAAGAGGUUCCCAGAUGAGGCCACAACAAAUUCAAUACUGAGAUAUCCUAACUGAUUCCACCCCUUGUCAGUAAUGUUAAGCACGUCUGCAGCAGAACCAUCCAGACUAGUUGCUGACAACCAAAAACUAUAGGACUCUGAUCCUUUACUGAUUGAAGAGACAUUAUUCCCAAAUGCAUCUUUAGGGAGUAUCAAAAUUGUAGCUUUUGUUCCAGCGACAAACUCGUUUGCUCCAUCCAUCCACAAGACAAUACCAGCAGCUAAAUACAUUUUUCCUUCACAUUCAUAGCAGUAUGUAAGCGGUCAUCAUUGUACAAAUUCAUUGAUGAUAAAACUGGCAGCGUUAAACUGAAACAAUAUGUGCCCGCAGAACUGAUAUUAAUUACAUUCUUGUACUUAAAAAGUACUAGCAUGAUUGAGAUAUAGAAAGUCAGUUUUAUCCUGCUAUACAAACAUUGUUGAUUCUCUAGAUCUAGAGCCAACAUAUCUCAUAAUACGAGAUGAUCGUUGAAAGAAAAGUAACAGAAGAGCAAAUGAGAGUCAUGAUUACAUUGUACGUAUGGUCAAAACGCUGCUAGCCCUCAUUGUACAAUUGAAAGUUCAUCCAGGACAGGACGAUUGCACAUGUAAGAUAGCAACUUGUCAAGAAAAACAAGUUUCCCUAAACUGUGAUAAACGUCACUAAAAGGAAAACAACUGAACGUUACAAAUGAGGACAUUCUCACUGCAUCCAGUGACUGGAUUAUCAUACAAUGAAAUAAAAGAUGCAAAACAAACCUGGAGUGACUCGGAAAUGAAGGGAAGAGUCCAAGACAUUGAAAUUUUCUUCGGUGAUCAGCACAUUGAACAAUCCAACCAUAAUAGGGAUGAAAGAUAUCCUCCAGUUGUUAACAUCAACAUCAAACUGUAAAGAAACCCCAGAAAUGUAGGAGCUAUUACCCAUCUUAUCGUUGACUGUGAUGUUAGGAUUAAAGGGGUACUUGUACUUUCCACUCUCAAAAUUUCCUAGAACUUUGACCUUUAUAGUUGCUAUAUCCCCUGCCACAAAUGUGUCAUUGCCAUCAAACCAACUGAAAGCAAAAGUGGGCAUUGAUGGACUCUCUGCAACAAAUACAAAAAUGAUUCAAUAAAUAAGUAAAACAAAAUCCACCUCCUAGAAUUGAUGUAGAAAUGCCGGCAUUACCUGAUUUUGUGACUAGAAGACUAAAAGAUGGAAACAGAGAGGCAGUGAGGAAGGAAAUGAUAAGUAUGAUUUUAGUAUAUAAAAGCAUUCUUGAGUGUCCACGUACGAGAUUACAGUGAAUUGCAGAAAUGAUUUGACUUCAAAAAAAUUUUGGUGGGGAAGAAAGAUCUGGUAUAGGGCGGGAAAAGUUCAAGUUGAUGAAUAGCGGUUAUGAUAUCCGUGUGGAAGUCUGGGUUAUGGUUGGUUAUUGACAGUUACUUGAACUCAUUUUCUGUCGCAAAUAUUUUUUAUUUAUUGGCAGUGUGGUAAAAGAAAACAAAGAUCAAUUGUAUUUUCAGAUUUUUCUUGCAAUAGCUAUUACUAAUAUAAAGAUCAUUCUUUCGAUAGCAUUUUUGUUCAAUCAUGAAUAUUAGAUGUGUCAAAAUGAAGGACAAGGGGCACAAACGGUUGCAGGUCAAUCGUUUGUGGCGGUUUGUGCAUUUUCCAACAGCGCGUAACAUUUUUUGCACGUCGCGUAACUUUCUUUACACACGGAGUAACUUUAGAACAAAUUUUUGUGGACCCCACACAUGGCGUGAAAAUCGAGUUACAUGUUGUAAUUUGAGCCGCACAAAUUUCUGAGGCCACAUCGUGACCGUGAACCUUCAGGAACGGUUGUCAAAAUGAGUGACAACCGUUCCUGCCCCAUUUCCCAAAAUGAGUGAUUCGGGUGGAUUUGAACGGGUCAUAAUUUGAUAAUGGGUAUAAUUAGGUCAACCCACGUAUACGCAUUUAAUAUAUGGGUACGAGUAUAUCCAAUAUCUAUUUAUGAGUCACUUAAAAUUCUAUUUUUUUUUAGCAUAUUGUUUGACAAGAAAUAACGAUAUCUUAUUGUUAUUUGAUUGAUAAGAAAUUGAAAUUUAUUUUCUUAACACUCACUAAAAAUUGAAUUUAAAUAUAUAAUUAUUUUAAAUGAGUAUAAACGGAUGAACCGAAUCAACCCAUUAUCAAUCAAUUAGAUGAGUUUAAUUGAGUACCAAUUUGAACCCAUUCAAAAUUAAUGGAUAGGUUUGGACAGGUUAUUGGUGGACGAGUUUGAACGGAUCAACAUAAUUGAAUUGUAAUUAACACAUCUAAUAAACAGGAUCUGAGAACAAGAAUGACUAAGGAUGAUAAUCUUUCCAGGGUCCAAGCCAUGAUAAAGGCAAAUAUUUUGUAAGAAAGAAUAUUGAAGUUAACCAUGAUUCACGUAGGAUACUGUUGGAGCAUCGAACGGACAAGUACUUUUCAUAUUAUGAAACAAUUGAACGUUUGCACAAUCAAGUGUACAAAAGUAAAGAUAUAGUGAAUAAUAGAUUUGCAGUUUGGUAGACUUUUACUAGAAUAGAUGUAAAAGAUGCAUGUAAAAUUUUCAUGUCGAGUGGUCUGCGCUUUUUCGAUUCUAAUAUCUCAUCGCCUACAUUUACAUCAAAUUUUGAUCACGGGGUUGCAAACUAGUUAUGUUUGAAAACCACAUGUUAGACAUACGUAUCGAUUACCUUUUUUUUUUUUUUGGGGUAAAAAAAGAAGACUGUUGUGUUUGAUAACCAUGUUAGAUAUAGGCAUCGGUUACCUCUUUUGUUUUUUUUUUUUUGGGUAAAAAAAGAAGACUUGAAUAAUAAUAAUACCGCUUCAUAGCACAUUGCUUUUAUCUAAAUUCGUAUAAUUUUAUCAUUUUAAACUGAUUAGCAAUAAAACGUUUCCUGCAACAAACAUUCCCUUUAGGACUUUCGGUCUUGCCGCCGACGACCUGCCAACAUGCAGCAGAAUUUCCAAAUCCAGUACUUCGUAAUUUUCACCGCACUUAACUUCACAGGAUUAUUACAAUUCAACUCAAUUCAACAUUGAUAACAAUUUCCAUGCAGUGGCUGAAGAAAUCUUUUAGCAAGGCAUGAAACUCCAUCACAGCACAAAGGAAUUUUAAGUGUGCCGUUUUUGUUGUCUCUGUUGCUUGGUUGAGGUGGAUGCUAGAAAACAAGAAUGGGAUUAAAGAAAAAAGAAAACAUUGCCGCAUGUUCAGAAUUUCUAAUUCAACAAUAAGGUAACAACAGAAAAGCUAACUGAUUGUCUCCAAAACAUGAAGUAUGACAAAAUUGUCUCGCAAAAAUUGCCAGUUCGGCUAUAGAUAGCACCACCAAAACAAGGAGACACACCCCUUCAAACUCUAAAGCCUCUGCUAUUUCUUCUUCCCCUAGCUCUCUCAAAUUUCCUACCCGUGGACCUAACAUAUGGUUUGGUGUGGCUAUGAGGCACACCGGGAGCUGGGCCAAAAUGUUUCACGGCCUCGCGUGCAUUCUUUGGGCCUCUAAGUAAAACCUGCAACAACAAGAACAGUGACUUGUUUGAUGUAUUCAUUUCGCUUAAAAGAAGGAUAUCUAUCAGAGAUUGAACUUUCUCUAAGCAAACUAACUACAGCUCUGUCUGAAAAUAUUCUCCACAGUGUUGGCAAAGUUAGAACCCCAGUGUUUUAACUAAAUUCAAAUGGAAAAAGGUAUCAAAUGGAUGCUGACCACUAAGCCACACACCCUGUGUCAUAGAUAUCAUCGGCAAAUAGCAAAUCAUGGCCUCGAAUAGUUUUCAGAGACGGGCACAACAGACAAAGUGCCUUGUUUGGGGGACAAGCAUGCUCCUCAGAUGAAUCUAUCGUAUUCUUUGUCCUUAGUUUUGUCAAACUGUUUGGCUUUCCUAAGGACUGGCUACUUGGAAAAAAACCAGACAGAAAACAGAGACAUGAAAAUGAACCAUGGAACAGACUCAACUAGAGGCUUUUGGGAAUGUAAUUUUAGAUGCAUACCGUGUUCUGACCAAGAGGAGCCCUCAGGGCCAACUGAUCAAAGGUCAAGCACUCUCCUCCAGCCUUCUCAAUUCUUGCUCUGGCCCUCUCUGUGAACCUCAAAGCAGCCACCUUCAAAGUUGGCACUUCGUACGCUCUAGUAUCAUUAGUUACUGUUCCAACAAGCACUGCAAUUUUGUCCUCCUAGAUAUAAAACAAGAUGAAUGCAAUUAGCUUGAAUAGUUUAUAUGACAUGCUAUGCAGUUAAAUUAAAACUAUUUAUAUGACAUGCAACUUAAUUUCUUCUAUUCAAAGCACUUUUUGCUUCCCCUAUCCCAUGAAUCUGCACAACUUCACUUGAUAUUCAAGCUAAUUAUCAGUGGCAGCAAUAUUAGUUUUGGGCUAUUAAAAGCUAUAUUAAGUUUUGGGAUGUUAAAGAACAUCUUAAAGUAAUCACUUAUAUUAGCUACACAGAACAAAAGGAAAACAAAUCAAGGCAAAAAAUAAAAAAAGGCUGAACUUUGUAGCAAAACCCAUUUUGGAUAUCACUAACAACUAGCUCAAAUGGACAUCAAUGAGAAGCAGAAGUCAAGGUCAAUCAAACGAAUCCCCAAGUAAAACUCCAGGAACUAAGCAAAGUACCUUUCCUUCCAUGAACUUGACAAGGCUGGAGAGUGACAGAGGAGGCUUGUUGGUCUUACUCAUGAACAACCUCUUCAGCAGUACAGCAUUGAACCUGCUCCCUGUCCUCCUCACCAAAAAUCGGUACAACUACAACGAACACGAAGCAUUCUAUAUGAAUUCAAAUACCUCUAUUCCCACCAAACUUGUACAUAUAUUACAUCAUCAACAAAAAAAAAAGAGAAAGGAAAAACGUAAUCUUUAUGAUUAUGCGCUUGACUAAAGCUGAAUGAAAUUCUUCGGAGCAAUACUUACUAACCAGCCAAAAUUCAUGUGUUUGCAAAUCUAAGCUAGACAAAUGGAUUUCAUUCACGAACUAUCAGCAAUCCUUAUACUUUAUUUCUGAUUACAAAUAUGAAUACAAAUAAAAUUCUUCACAGCAAUGGUUUACUUGACAAAUUCAUGUGCUCAUACAUAACGUAGUAUAAAAACAGAUUUUUCUUUAACAAACACACGAAUAUCAGACAGAGACUUAAAAAAAAAAAAAAAAAAAAAAAAAGCCAAAGUAGGCACCUUGACUAGGAGCUUGAGGUAGAUGUCAUGAGAUUUGGGGGCGGUACGCUUAGUCUUCUUAACUUUGCCGCCGGCUUUCAAAUCAAUACCCUGAAAAAUACCAAAAUUAUACACCACAGAAUUGGAUAUUAGGCUGAAAUCUUCGUCCCAGCGCAACUAAGCAGAGGGAGAGAAACGUAGAAAUUACCAUUUCUUCUUUUUCGAAGUCUUGGCGAAGACGAGAUUUCUGUCGGAGGCCGCGGGCUUGGCUGCUAAUGGAGUACUGGACGGCUGCUCCUCUAUAGUUUUGGAGGUUUUCUUAUUAGGGUAGAAAUGGGAUAGGGUUUUUGCCUGGGGAAUUGGCUCCCGUGACAAGCUGGUGAUGCUGUUUAUUACAGACCACUUGGAUCUCGAUCGUAGAAGGGCCAAGUCCGGUCAAUAAAGUAAUUUGGCUUUUCCUUUUUACUCAAGUAUUUGCAUUAAUUAUCACUGUGAAGGGGUUUUACUAAUAUUUUUUAUUUUCUUCUUAAUUUCCAAAGAGAAAUUACACAUUUUCUUUUUUAUUUCAGUGUAUCGAUUUUACGCCUAGCCUUUUUCACCUUUUUUUUUUUGUUUUUUAUACCUAUACGAUGAAUACCAUCAAUGUCUAUUGAAGUUACAGCAAUGAAGGCAACAAUAAAUACGGAAGCUGAGAUCAAUAUAAAGUAGGGAUCAUCAAAACACUAAACCAGCCCCGCUGAUAGUUAGAUUGGUUCGAAGUAAGUCCUGUGAUUGACUUCGACGUGCUAUCUCAUUGUACAUUUUUUGACCAAGAUUCUACACAAUCUUAGGGGAUCCAAUUGAAAAUCAGAUCGGACUGACCGGUUGAAUUGCGAACUGGCCAUACCUCCGAUCUAAUUCAAUUAAAAAAAUCAAAAAAUUAAUUGAACCGGUCAAGAUCGGUUGAAUCGGUAAAAAUCGGGAGGUUCAAUUGAUUUUUAUGAAGUAUUUAUUUUCUAAAAUAAAUAUUUUAGUUUUAUUCAAAAUUCUUAAUACUAAAAUGAAUAAAAAAUUAUUAAAGCUUUGAACUGGAGUCAAACCAGUUGACCGAUCAAAUCGUGAACCGAAAUGUUCACUCUUUGGUUCGAGUUUUAAAACAUUGAGGGGAUCGCCCUCCGUGUGCUACAUCGCUAUGUGUUUUUGAAAUAAGGCUCUACAUAGUUUUAGGGGGUUAGUUUGACCGAAAUGUUGCCCCUAAGUGAAAAAAAAAAAUCAAAACACUAUACAAAAAAAAAAAUCAAAACACUAAACCACCCAAUAUAAAGACAAUUUUUCAUGCGGGUUAUGCAAUUAUAGAAGCAACCCCAUUGGCUAUGACCAAAAAAUGAGAGGAAUUUGAAAUCUCGAUAGUUCUUUGUUCAAAAUCGUAUCGGUUUUUAUUAAUAAAAAAAAAAUCUCGUAAUAAAAGAAACAUAGGAGUUUGUUACUAGGUAUUUGACCAAAUAGGAUCGUCCAUUCCUAUAGAACAUAUCACUAAAAUAGCUCUAGAAGGGAUAAAACUAGGUGAAUCGAAAAGGAUUUAAGUUAUAUAAUUAUAUUUGUUAAUUUAAAUUUUUUUAUAAGAAAAGCUUGUAUGCAAAAUAUGUGAAGAUUUUGGCUGUUUUUUAUUUGAUUGAAUCUUAUAUACUCCAUCCCGCAGUCUCUCACGACCCUGAAGAAUCCUGCCAUGUCACUCAUGUUUGCCAUUUCUUCUGCUCUUCAAAACGCACCGUAUCGAGCAAUCUCCAUAAAAAACAGCCAAAAUCUUCACAAAUUUUGCAUACAAGCUUUUCUUGUAAAAAAAUUUAAAUUAACAAAUAUAAUUAUACAACUUAAACCCUUUUCACUUCACCUAGUUUUAUCCCUUCUAGGGCUAUUUUAGUGAUAUGUUCUAUAGGAAUGGACGAUCCUAUUUGGUCAAAUACCUAGUAACAAACUCCUAUGUUUCUUUUAUUACGGGAUUUUUUUUUAUUAAUAAAAACCGGUACGAUCUUGAACAAAGAACUAUCGAGAUUUCAAAUUCCUACUGUCAAUGUAUACACUAUCACGAUGGGAUGGAUGACAUGUAUUCAAAUUUUACACAUGUAUCAUAUAUCUAAUGAUGAUAAUAUAUACACUAAUAUUGUAUAUAAGAUUAAUCUUUUUUAUUUUGGGCAGAAUUGUUGUAGUUAAAAAUCAAGAGGGCCGGAUUGCGGUUAAAUCCCAUUUUUCUGCCUAAACAAAAUAACCAAUGACACUUCGUGCUAAUUUAGCUAGCCUUCGUCUUUAGUGUCAACUUUUUUUAACCAUUUGGCCGUGAAGAAAAUAACAAUGCAUGCAUCUUGUGCAUCAAAUUAUUCUCAAGUCAAUCAAUCCUACCCCCAUGCUAACGUCCAGCUAAAAUGACAAUUGAAGAGAAUCCUUUUCCUGGACAAAACAUCAAAGUUAUCUGUGUAGCAACAGUUCAGUAUAGUAUCUGAAUUUGGCUUGUUUUUUAAGGAUCAUCAGUUCAUGAAUUUCCAAUUCAUGUUUGACAGGCCAUUUCAAUUGUCAAUUUAUAAUCAAGUCGAAUGUACAACAAUAUACAUGAUCACAAAGAAAAAGAAGAUUCAUGAUUGCAUGAGCUUGAGGAAGCCAAAGCUCCUGUUCCCAGCCUUGUGCUUCAGCAUCAUUGACAAACAGAGAAUUUAGCAGCUUCAGAGUCUCAGUAACCUCGAUUUGGCAUUAAAAACCCUGAUAUUUCAAGCUCAAAAAACGCCUAUGCAACUCAAAAGCUAGUCAGAUCCACAGCUCUGGAGCCAAGGCUUGACCCUUAAGUCUAGUUCAUGGAGCAGUCACCUCAUAUGCAACAUCAACAGCUCUGGUUUUUCAAUGUACAGCUUCCAUUCAUUGCAGAACCUUGCAACUGUUGCACCAUCAAGGACUCUAUGAUCAGCACCAAUAUUAACCUGAGAUAGUAAACGCCAAAGUGAGAGAGAGACAAAAUAAACUCCCAAUUAGCAACAAACAUUUUGCAACCUUAUGAUGCACUAAUAUCAAUAAUGGCAGGUUGCUGGACAAUUAUAUUUGCAAAAUGUGGAAUUGUUUAUACUGGGGAAACUUAGUGAACCAUUCACUACUUACGGUCAAGACUGACAUAGGAUACACAUUUCCAUCUUCAGCAAACUGAGGAACUUUCUGGAUGCGGCCAAGUGCAAUGAUGCAAACUUCGGGCACAUUGACUAGUGGGGAACCAAACUUUCCACCAAUUGCCCCUAUGUUACUUAAGGUUAUAGUUCCACCAGUUAUAUCAUCAGGGUUAAGUUUAUUUGCCAAAGCCAAUUGUUGAAGCCAUGAUAAUUCCUUUGUUAUCUGCAGAUAGAAUAUCAAUCAAUCAACAACUCUAGGCAAGCAAAAUUGCAUAGUCCACCCUGACCUGAAUCCUUUUUGUCCUUUUCAACAAAAUAAAUAAUCAAAUAGGAAAAUGAUGCCCUGAAUUGAGAGAGAGUACUAACCUCCAAGAUCGAUAGAGAUUGGACCUUCUUAAUAUUUGGUACCACCAAACCAUGUGGAUUAGCCAUAGCAACUCCAACAUUAUGAGAUCCUUUUGAAGUAUGAAUGAAAUCAAGGUACAAGAUUUAAGUGAGCAACAAAUCAAGAGAGUUUUCAUGUUAAUGAUCAGACAGUUCAAUAAUGGAUGAACUUCUAUCCCUGUCAUCACUAUCAAUAAUUUCAUGAUGAAAGUGACUAUCAUACGUUUCAGUUGCUUAAAAUAACAAACUUCUAGCAUCUCUGAAUGAUUACAGAUACACCUGAAUCAAACUGUAUACAACAUCUACAGAUCCAAACAUGAAACUAAAAGAAAAAUAACAAUGAUUUUGGAAAGUUCAAGACCUAAAUCUUCCUUCACUAAAAUGAUGACAAAUACACCUUGAAGCAAAUUAUUUUGUUGAAUGCAAGCUCAAAAUUAUCUCAAGGACCCAAAAGAAGCAGUCGAGUUCUGGUGAGGUGGCUACAAUACGAGGAAAAGACCCAAGGCAACAUGUGGCCAGAACAAAAAAGGCAUAUCAGUGAUCAUAAGUGUGCUUAACAGUGAUCUCUUGUACAUCAUGUAUACAACAACGUAAUCCUGAGAUUUGGCACUUCAUAGACUACUGACCUUUAAGUGUAACCUCAUUCAGUUCUUCAUUCAAGCUGCUGUUCAGCCAUGGAUACUUACUGAUUGCCAUGGAAAGUGACUUUAUCAAGAUGGGAAGGAAAGUGAACUUGACAUCAGGAUCAGAAUUCUCAUUAUGAAAGGAAGAUUUGAGCUCUACAAGUGCAUCACAAUUUAUUUCUUCCACAUAAUGAAAAUGAGGAAUUUUAGCAGCUGAUGACAUGGACUUUAUCAUAGCACGUUGAUAACCCCUGAAAAGUCAAAUUCCAUUAGCUCAUCAUUUCCACAGUUAGCCAACUGAAGUUCAUCAUCUAUAUCAUAGCCUAUAAAAAAAAUAUACUUCCCCUGCCGCACACCACAACAGCAUUAAGUAAAAUCUACUAUAAUGAUGUCAAGUUCUGUAGAACUUGACAUCAUCAACCCAUAAAAGAUUGCCAGAGGUUAAGACAUAUAAACAUAUUGCGAAGAAAUGGACUGGCAAUCCUCUAUCAGAAAGACCAAAUUACCAGAAAACCUCAGCUUCCUCCUAAUGAAAAUAGAUGUGGAGUAAUGGACAGAACAUAAAAUUCUAUUAAGUCCUCUCAGUGAAAGAGUAGCAGUAUGAAAACUGAAACAGAGAAAUGACGGAGAGAAAAGAAAAAUAAUUCUUCAACAAGUCAAACAUAGAAGUCGAGAAAAUUUUAAAUAUAUGUCUUCAUUCACAGAGAAGACAUGCCUUAAUGUAACAGUCUUAUCUUCAAAUUCCCAUCCGUAUGCGCCGGAAAUACCCUCGAAGCUGUUGUCAGCUACCUGUGACUGCUCUCCCGAAUAAGCACCCAAAGAUGUUGGAUCCUUAAUAUUUUCUUUCUUAGCAACAUAAUUUAGGACAUCCUCUCUCAACACUCUUCCAUCUUUACCAGUUCCAACAACAUCAUUUAUAUCAAUACCAUAAUCUUUUGCAAGACUACGAACAGCAGGGGUGGACAGAACUUUCUUAAUGGCACUCCUCUGAAGCACAGAACUGGGAGAAUCACCUUCAAGACCAUUGCAGUCCAAAUUAUCCAAAGGAUGCAAAGUUUGCAUAGGGCAAGCAGUUUCAUCAACAAUCAUUUUCAAUAGUGUUUCUCCAACCUGCAAACCAAACGAUGAUGAGGAUAUUACAUUCUUUGAAAGACCAAAAUCAAGACUCUGCAGAUAUGGAUUGUACAAGAGGGCAAACAAAAGUUCCAAAAAGGGACGAUUCUACCAAUGCCAAAAUAGUAGAUAGGUGGAGGAAAUUCUGGACUGAAAUGGUGAUCAAGACAAGCCAGAAUGAGUAGCCAUCGAUGGUCAAUCUUAAAGAAGAUUAACUAUGCCCAUAUUUUCUAGAAAAGUAAUCGUUGAAGGUUUAGAACAAAGAAAAUUAUUGGCAGUCCCACACUUACAUAUCUUGAAACAAAUAAUAUAUAGCCACAGCUCAUAGAGAGAAUGGACUUGUGUAAAAGCAUAUGAAGGUGCAUGAAAGACUGGUUUUUUAUGUUACCUUUACAAUGUUACCAGGAACAUGGAGAAUUUGAGAAACUUUUCCUUUGUAACGGCUGGUUAUUUCGAUGGUAGCUUUGUCACUCUGAACUUCACAAAGUGGUUGAAACUCUUCAACUUCAUCACCCUGCAAGAUUUUUUUUUUUUAAUCUUCAUUUGAUAUAAGUAGCAGUCUCACAUGGACAACCUGGGAAAGAUGUCUCUGGUCUGCAAUGUCGCAUUCACUGUUCUAACCAAGUAUCAAGGACAAGCAUGUUGCACAUGACUCGAAUACCUAUCUUAAGCUGCACGUAGUUGAAGUUUGUUAUCCCAUGCAUGCCUUCAAAGAUUUUCCAUGUAGCAGUGUUUCAGAACAGCUAAGUACUAUUUUUAUUUGGCAAGUCUUCUCUAACUUAAAAAGUCUUUCAAUAUUUUGUCGAGUCUCCUGAUUUUCGCUUUAGAUAAAGAGCAUUCAGACUUUCAAACACGUGCAAGCCCCAGAUAACUCGUGACAACAUCCAUGAUACAUAGGUUGUUUCUGGAUACUUCCAAAUUUUUGCAUGAAAUAAAAUAACAAGCAUUUGUACAUGUGACAAAAGAACAACUAAAAACGGUGUAUAGCCCAUCUCGUGCUAACAACAUGGGAAGGAUGAAUAAGCUAGACACUAGUGGAUAGAAAUUUUCUUCAGAAAAGAUAAUAGCAGUAGGCUGGGUGAUAUGCCAAAAUACAGCCCAGCAUAGUGAUUCAACUAAGCUUAGAAAUAGAUCAUAACUAACCUCUUGAAUAAACCAUUUCAGGAGUUCACAUUCAGCAAUACCUUCUCCAGUUUGUGCCAAAGGAAUAUCAACUAUCCCAUCAACCGGAGAAUCAACUACAACUUGAGUUGAAAAGCAACAUCUUCUCAUACCAAAUUCGUAAUUUGACUGCAAAACAACAAGAAGAGAGAAAUUAACAAGCAAGAAUAAUGAAUAGAAACUGCAAUUUCCAGUCCACUUCACAAGUUCUUGAAAAAAAAAAUUUGCACCAACACAAGAAGCCAGCAUCUAUAUUCCUAUUCUAACAGACAAAUCUCAACACAGGCACAGCAUACAAACAUAAUAUCCAAAAACACAACUUUUCGGCUCUUCAUAUGGAAAUGGCUUCACAUAGAACGAUGUCUUGUUUAGAAUGAGCACAUGGAUAUCCCUCCAGGGACACAUUUUGCCUUGCAAACCGUAUAACAAAUCCCACCCUUUUUCCACUUCUACUUGGAACAAAUACACAAUUCAACUCACCAGACUACUCAAGCGGUAGGACUACUGGCAUAAAAUAGUUUUAACAUGAAAAAAAUAUUCCAAAGUCCCCAGCUUUUAACAAAAGGACCUUUAUGAAAACCUUACAAAUGCCAUUCAUUUCAUUCACCUUAAUGAGUCGGAUAAAACAAUCUGACUUCUGUGAUUCUGAAAAUUAAACUAAAUUAACAUCCUACAUGGGCAUCAAAGCACCACAAUUCACAGGAAAAAUAAACAAUAAAAUGGCUACAGAAUUAAGGGAGGGAGCUAUAGCACACGACUAAAUGACGAAAAUCUGCUUUAAGAAAACAUAAUCACAAUCACCGGUAGCACCAAAGGAAAUCCCAGAACAGGAGUUUAGCUACCGACAAUAAAUUCAAUGAGAAACAGAGUUAAUGAUGGUUGAUUACUUCAUUGAGCUUAAUGUAUUGCAGAAACGACAUCGUUGAGCAGGGGAAGAUGGAAGCUUGGGAAGUCGAACCCAGUGAUAGAGUGGUUGUUGGGCCUUGGCCAGGACCACCGGUGGCCACCGGCGGCCGAGUAGGAGCAGUAGACGAGUAUAACCACCGCCGGCAGGUAAUCCAUGGCUUCCGCUGAUGCAUUCGCCGGCAAAGCAUUGUGCAAUGGUAAGAGCUGGAGUAGCGUGCGACCGCUUCGUUGCAAGUAACGUACUAGCAACUAAUUAAACCACUUGGGAUGGGAGGAUUUCUGCUUGGUUACGUUGUUUUUUUUUUUUUUUUUUCUGACAUUUUCUUAACGGAAGUCAAGAAUUCGAUAAUAAACCUAUAUCCCCGAGUAACCUUGCAACUUUUGAAGGCACCCAGGGGACUUAUAACCCAACCCACAACCCCCCCCAAUACCGAUGUGGGAAAGAAACCCCUACAGGGGCAAGCCCAGCAGGGCGGCUUCUGCUUGGUUACGUUGUUCAGUAGAUGGAACGUAAAAUUUUUAAAUUUGUUUAUUUAGGAAUUAUUGAGAUGAUUAGCAUUUGUCCUCAUUUGAGAUUUGCCUGCUACAAAUUUUUUAACAAGUUUAGUUAUAAUAUUUUUUAAAAAAUUUUUAAAUUAUACACUUUAAAAUAUUUAAAAAUUUACACAUUUCAAAAAAAUUUUCUACAAUUUUUAAGUAAAUUAUAAUAAAAUUUUAGACAAACACCCUAAAAAUUCACUUGUCAAACGGACCCAGAAAAGUUACUAGAGUUCUUUCCAUAAUAUAUUGCCAUAAAAAAUAUUUUUGAUUGUUUUUAUUUUGUCAUGAAAGAGAUGGUUAAAAUGGUACGGAUUAUUUUCUUUUGGAUAAUUUUUUUUUUUUUGGUGUACUGUGAGUAUGUAAUAGGUGUAUAUGUUUGUCAUAUGAUGAGCCUGGGCCCAAGAAAAUUUUGUGACUGUAACCAACUCUUUGAUCCUAUAGUAGGAGAGUAAGGCCCAAAUACUGAUAAACAGUCCAUCUAGCCCAAACUCAUAGACCAGAGCCAUUGGUCCUUUAUGAAAUACGCUUCGGGUUCCGACUGGUUGCUAUUGGGGCAGUUCUGUUGGGGCUAAAUUGAACUGCAUUAGCAGUGCGAGGUCUGGAAUUUUUUGAAUUUCUGGCUUCUUUCAGGUGUUUUAUGACAACAUAAUAAAUUUUGAAUAGAGGACUAGAAUAAUUGCGCUAAACUCAAAUCGCUUGCUACUAGUGCUUUUUGAUGAGGUUUGUCUUGUAGAAGUGCUCAAACCGGAUUUGUGAUCAAUUGCACGUAUGAUUUACUAUGCAAAAAAAAAAAAAAAGAAAAGAAGAAGAUGGUAUAGCCAUCUUUUUUAUUUCCCUAGGCAAAACAUGUAUCAAGUGUCUUCAUUUCUCCUUUUGAUUACUAAGGCCUUGUUUGAUAAUCCAAUUCAGCACUUCAAUUUUAUAAAUUCAGACCUUAACAUGUUAAAACGUGUUUAAUAACCAAAAAUUGAAUAUCUGAAUUAAUUAAAUGAUAUUAAAUUUUUUAAAUAAAAUUUGCUCCAAAAAAUAAGUGAUAAGCUAUGUGAUAUACACUCAAGAUUUUAGUACUUAAUAAUUCAAUAAAUUAAUGAAUUCAGACUUCUCACGUUUCAGUUUUUUAUCAACCGCACCCUGAGUGAGCUAGUCAUCAUUAAAAUCAUCAUCAUUGUAAGGAGCGCAGUUCUUAGAAGCUUGAUUAAUUUUGAAGACAGGGAUAAAUGGAAUUAAUAGGUAGGGGCAUGUAUACGGUCCUACCUGUUUAAAAUUUCACAAAAUGAUGCUGCUGGAAUCGAUCGUGCAAUGUGCCGGAUCGAGUUGACCAGUAACCGCUUCUUGCGAUUGUGACCUCACCAAAUUUUAGGGGACUCCUGUAAUGGGAUGGUGCUUUUUCCAUUUGUGAAAAGCUUGUCCUCCUCUUUUUCACGUCAAUGAAAAAAAAUUCUUGUACCCUCUUGUUACUGAUGUUAGAAGUAGUAAAGUGGUUCCUUCCUCUCCUGUACUCAUGUUACUGAUGAAAAAUGUGUGCCCUUUUGCCCAUGACACUCAUUUCUUUUUUAUUCUAGUUGGAAGUCGUCAGAAGGUGGUGAGAAUUAGGACAAUGUCACGUCUCAUACACUAGCGUACAUCCUUAUAGAAAGAUUCCCACAUGGCUAAUGUGCACUUUUGCAUCAACUACUGCUAUUCUCAUCUUCUAGUCCUUCCAAAUACUUAGCUAGCUUAGCAUGUCCUGCUUUAUAAGGAAAAACUCUCAUCUUCCACAACUUUUAUUAAGUUUUUCGUGGCUUCAUCAUCAUCACAUGCAUGCAGAGUUGCAUGGACAGUUUCAUCUUUCUUUUAAUGCCACAUGCCAUGUGAGAAGUGAGGACCAAGAUGGCCUAAACAAAUUGUUUGGACUCCAUGAGUCCCAAGACACUGGAGAUAUGACUUCACUUCAGUUGUUAUGCACAAUGUUUGCCUGAAUUCCAUCGUGUCCAGAUGGUCCAUGAAACGUUUUGAGCUUAAUCAAUUAAUUUGCAGUGCCCAUGAUUCUCUUCACGUUUCCAACAUAAUGUUGAGAAGGAAAUAAUGGAUCAUGAACUCCUUUGCAUCUGAUACCAAAUGAAAACAACGCGUUCCCAAGCAAGUUCUCCCCAUGGAAAAAUACAUUUGCUGAGCAGAAGCACACUCUACUGUCAUGCACGUUGUCCUUUUUAAUCAAGAGAUUCCAAGUGGGGUCACGAAGUUUUUUUACCCUAGGGUGUCUGAGCAGCUAGACCAAUUUGGCAGAAACAAGAAAUUAUCAGUCCAAAGUGAAAAGGUAGGGAAGAAAAUAAAAUGUGUUGGUGCGUGAAACGUAGACUUGAAGGCAUGAAGGGGAGCAUGCCUAUGAAGAUAAAGGCUGAGCCAGUGGAUUGUCCGCAUUUCCAUGCGCAAGAAAAUUGGUGGCAUCCCAUCCAAAUAUAACUUCAAACUUGGACUGUGACUUGCUGUUGUGAUCCGGUCUUCGGGAUGAUGGUGAAUUGAUAUUAUUAUUAUUGAUAACCAGAGAAAUUUCAGCUUUCAGACAUGCUGGGAAACUGUCUUCAAUUGCAAUACUACUCAACACAAUUGCACUGCUGGAAUGAUACCGAUGGCUCCACUUACAAAUAGAGGAAAUUUGGGUGUCCACUGUCCACCCUGCAGGAAAGAUUUUGGCUUUGGAAUUAACUAUGGUUAAUAAAUUCGUGGCUCGUUUCUCUCUCUCUCUCUCUCUCUUUUUUUUUUGUUCGUUUUUUUAUGGUAGUGCACCUUAAUGUUGGUAAUAUUGAUAAGGGAGAACAAAAGGGUACGUGCAAAUCAAACCCUUCUUCUAGAACCAAAAAAUGCAAAGUAUAUCAAACAUUAAUGCCACUAACUGCAUAUUUGUGUCAUUUUAUGGCUAGAAGUUUCAAAGUGGUUCUGGAAACUCUCAAGGAAAUCUCUUUCAGUCCUGCAUGCUUCCACCAUUUACGCCUCUGUGAAAAAGUACUCAUGAUCUUCAAGAAUUUUUUAAGAAUAUGAGGAAAAGUGUUCACAGCACACAUAUUUUGCGCAUUUGUGGUCGGAUCCAGUACCCAACUCCUGCAUAAUAUAUAUAUGUCCAUCGGGCAUGAGACCAUAUAAUGUGGACAAUCUAUCUAUUAGUCGGAGAUUGUCUCCACUUGCUGAAUUUCCAGCUAACAAAGAUGCUAAGCUACAAUAGUAGGGUUAAAAAUAACAAUGAGUUUAUGUUGACAAACCAGCUCAAAUGAGGAAAAGAAGUGCUACAUCCUGUAUGAAAAUAGUCAACAUUCGUGGGUCCUACUGACUAAGGAUUAUUGCACUAAGAUUUACUGGAUAGAUCUCCAUGUGGAGUUCAAUUUUUGACCAUCAUUAGUCCUGUUGUUGGACCUUGAUAAUCCACCUUCUAGAUAGCUUAAGAUUUGAGGUUUCUUCCUUCUUUUUUUUUCCUUGUCAAUAUAAACAGAACAAAGAGCAGGCACAUGGAGGAGCUAGUAGUGAAAGUGAGAAUGUGGGACUCGACUUUGAACUGAGAAUAUUAGCAUUCAUCAAAAUGCAUGUCAACUUUCUGCAACUGCAACUUUGUGGGUUUAAGCUGGGAAACUUGAAAGAUCAUCUACAAUGCUAUUGGUGGUUAGUACAUUAUCCUUCUAUUAUGAUUAACAAUCAGAGAUGAUCGCACAACGGAAGGGUUGACACGACAUCGUAUAUAUAUAUAUAUAUAUACUGUGGCAUUGUACAAGAUACCCAACCUUAAAUCCCCUAUCGCAAAAUAUACCAAUCCUCUUAUUCCACGACAUCAAUUGUUGGGAGAUUAUGAACUGUCGGUGGUUCCAGUGGUUUGAUACAAUGCCCCAGAGAUUGGAACCAGAAUAGCCACAUAUAACAUCAGUGUAACAACCCCUUUUGAACACAGCAAGGAGAUUUGACAUCGUAAAAGUUAUAAACGGGCUCUCUCAACAACCGUACGAAUUUAGCUGUUAAAAUGGCAUUGGGUGGGAAGGUAUAACAUCCCAUCUUCGACAUGUAAUAAGUUGAUGCUUGAAAUGCAAUUUGUCUGCAGGAUUAUGACCAGUGGUGGGGGAUGACUGCUAGUCUCAAUUAGGUUUGGGUUUCCAAGUCAUUUGCUGCAACUAAUAGGCACAUGCAUGGUUUCUUAUGAGCAAGACAAUGCUUAUUUUCUGUUGUUAUAAAGCGCCGAGCCUUUUAAUCAAACAUCAUAGGACCAGCACAGCAACAGUGGAGAACAGUGAUAAGAUUGAGAAGCCAAGGAGAAAUUUCAACACGCAUAUGGAGAAUCAACGUCAAACAAUUAUUAGGCUUCGGGUCUAAAGCUAGUUGGCCAAUACCCUAAUAAUAUAUCAUUUUGAGAGUGCGUAGACUAAGAUUACUGCAUCAGCUCUUAGGACCAAACAUAGUUUAAUUAGUACUAGUUGGAAAUGUUUAACACAAUUUUCUCAUCUGGCAUAAUCAUGAUCAUGACUUUAGUAGUUGUCAUUUCAUUCAUUGUUCAUCUGUCUCCAUCUUUUCUUACGUCUUCCUCCGACAAGAGUUCGCUUAUAAAAAAUGAUUAUUAAUCACGAUAUUAUUAAACGAUUCACACAAAUAUGAAAAUCCCUAAAGUCGAUCAAGCAGGCAAGUAGUUUGUAUUCGUGCUUAAUUAAUCGCUUAGUAUAUAAUUUUUCCUUUCAUUAAAUCCAUGCACGUCUUCGCGGAAAGAAAAAGUACACGCAUGUUUUGUACUUCACUAAAAUUAGAGUACUACAUACUACAAAGUAAAAAACAAAGGGUAGACCCUAUGCAUGGUAGUAGUAAAGGAAAGGUUCAAGCCAAAUGCUUUGUACUUGUAGUAGCCAGAUAAUUAACUUGUUCCAAUGAUUUGGAAGUGUUUACAAGUUUAAACACGAAUAACCAUGCAUGCACGCAUGUGAUAUCACACAAGCAUUCAUUCAUUCAUGAAGAUGCCUCAUGCAUUCAUUGCAUGUUCUACAUAAAUUGGUACAAUGAAACACAAUAAUUAAACAACUUGUAAACUAACAUAGAAAUUGGAAAGUAAGAAUCCAAACAGGGUAAUAUAUCACAAUAAUUAAGAUUACCAUUAAUGCUGACUUUAGAGACAAGAAGCGUGCUAGUACUGAACAACAUAGGGGUUGGCCCCGAGAUCUUGGAUCCACUACUACAGGAAUUUUCACGUAAGCAUAAUAAGAUUGGAAGGAUGUUGCCAAGGCUAUAAAUAUUAAGUUGAAUGUGACAUAGACCUAAGCACAGGCUUCUAUCUCCAACCACCAAUUAUAGAUACUUGCCAUCAUUAACAUGGAAAAAGGUGUGACCUAAUUUCAAUAAUCAAAUGCAGUCUAUUACUCCUGUGGUCCUGCUCAGCCAUGAUAAAGGCAAAUAUUUUGUAAGAAAGAAUAUUGAAGUUAACCAUGAUUCAAGUACUUUUCAUAUCCUUACAAUAUAUAAGAGGUACUUUUGCCUUACUGUUCAAGGCCAGUUUCAUCUGCUCUUCCAAGGCCUUACCCGUCAUUUUGCCCUCCAUCCGGUGUUGCUUAUAUAUUUUCUCCUCCUCUUACGCAGGACAAUUUUGUGUGUAAGAAGUGGAGAUUUUUUACCUUCAUAUUACGCAUUUGCCCUUGGUCUACUUAUUAUUCCUUUGUUUACCCUCAAUAAAUUCUUUUUUUAUGGUUCUGCGAGUGUUAUGAAAUUGGGCUUUUUUGUCAAUUCCUUUGACAAGAUUGUUGGGUUACAUCAAUAAACAGUAAUCUCAGCCUCCAAUUUACACUUUCCUCCUUAAAGAUGCCUUUCUUGUGGAUUAUAAGAUUUUAGCUUGAGGUCAUCAUUGGAAAGUAAAUUUUAUGCCCCCACUUGCAUGAAUCUGCUGUUGCCAAUGCCAUAUUAAGCACAAUGGUAUACAGAUUAGUCAUGCGCAUAUGUACUGAUCUCCGUCAAUUUGCUUUGUUCUAUUUGCUUUCAUCUCCCACUGUUUUGCUUCCUUUGCAUUGCCGCUGCUGGUAAUCAUCCUUUUACUUCCUUCUGUUUUAUAUUUUAUAUUAUAUUUCCUCAUUUUUGUUCCACCAAAUCUGGAUAAUGAUCCCGCACAUUAUUACGCACCUGAACACGAUUACGCUCCGUCUGCACAAAACACUAAGCUUAAACUUAUAAUAAACUUUUACCAUCCACUAACAAAUUACGUUUGACCAAACUAACUUAUAAAACUCAAUGCUCAGUUCAAAACAAAACAAUACUAUACACAUGUGAACAAAGAUUCCAACCAUACAAAAAAAAAAAAACAACAACAACAAAAAGCUGCAGCUUCACAGACAUCUUUUACAUAAAAUAAUUUCUGCAACUCACAAUUAGCUACAUAAAUAAACAACAUUUUCCCAUGUUUUACUUCAGAAAAUUUAACCCAAGUAACUUUCCCAUGUUUUACUACCAAUCUUUCCACACAAGCAUUUUCCUAAUACCUAAAACAAAACAGGCCAACCCCCAGGCACCACCCGCGCCUCGCGCGGGAAAAACAACCUAGUUAUGAAACAAUUGAACGUUUGCACGAUCAAGUGUACAAAAGUAAAGAUAUAGUGAAUAAUAGAUUUGUAGUUUGGUAGACUUUUACUAGAAUAGAUGUAAAAGAUGCAUGUAAAAUUUUCAUGUCGAGUGGCCUGCGCUUUUUCGAUUCUAAUGUCUCAUCGCCUACAUUUACAUCAAAUUUUGAUCACGGGGUUGCAAAAUAGUUAUGUUUGAAGACUACAUGUUAGACAUAGGUAUCGAUUACCUUUUUUUUUUUUUUGGGGGUAAAAAAAGAAGACUGUUGCGUUUGAUAACCAUGUUAGAUAUAGGCAUCGGUUACCUCUUUUUUUUUUUUUUUUUUUUUUUGGUAAAAAGAGAAGACUUGAAUAAUAAUAAUACCGCUUCAUAGCACAUUGCUUUUAUCUAAAUUCGUAUAAUUUUAUCAUUUUAAACUGAUUAGCAAUAAAACGUUUCCUGCAACAAACAUUCCCUUUAGGACUUUCGGUCUUGCCGCCGACGACCUGCCAACAGGCAGCAGAAUUUCCAAAUCCAGUACUUCGUCAUUUUCACCGCACUUGACUUCUCAGGAUUAUUACAAUUCAACUCAAUUCAAUAUUGAUAACAAUUUCCAUGCAGUGGCAGAAGAAAUCUUUUAGCAAGGCAUGAAACUCCAUCACAGCGCAAAGGGAUUUUAAGUGUGCCGUUUUUGUUCUCUCUGUUGCUUGGUUGAGGUGGAUGCUAGAAAACAAGAAUGGGAUUAAAGAAAAAAGAAAACAUUGCCGCAUGUUCAGAAUUUCUAAUUCAACAAUAAGGUAACAACAGAAAAGCUAACUGGUUGUCUCCAAAACAUGAAGUAUGACAAAAUUGUCUCGCAAAAAUUGCCAGUUCGGCUAUAGAUAGCACCACCAAAACAAGGAGACACACCCCUUCAAACUCUAAAGCCUCUGCUAUUUCUUCUUCCCCUAGCUCUCUCAAAUUUCCUACCCGUGGCCCUAACAUAUGGUUUGGUGUGGCUAUGAGGCACACCAGGAGCUGGGCCAAAAUGUUUCACGGCCUCGCGUGCAUUCUUUGGACCUCUAAGUAAAACCUGCAACAACAAGAACAGUGACUUGUUUGAUGUAUUCAUUUCACUUAUCAGAGAUUGAACUUUCUCUAAGCAAACUAACUACAGCUCUGUCUGAAAAUAUUCUCCACAGUGUUGGCAAAGUUAGAACCCCAGUGUUUUAACUAAAUUCAAAUGGAAAAAGGUAUCAAAUGGACGCUGACCACUAAGUCACACAUCCUGUGUCAUAGAUAUCAUCGGCAAAUAGCAAAUCAUGGCCUCGAAUAGUUUUCAGAGACAGGCACAACAGACAAAGUGCCUUGUUUGGGGGACAAGCAUGCUCCUCAGAUGAAUCUAUCGUAUUCUUUGUCCUUAGUUUUGUCAAACUGUUUGGCUUUCCUAAGGACUGGCUACUUGGAAAAAAACCAGACAGGAAACAGAGACAUGAAAAUGAACCAUGGAACAGACUCAACUAGAGGCUUUUGGGAAUGUAAUUUUAGAUGCAUACCGUGUUCUGACCAAGAGGUGCCCUCAGGGCCAACUGAUCAAAGGUCAAGCACUCUCCUCCAGCCUUCUCAAUUCUUGCUCUGGCCCUCUCUGUGAACCUCAAAGCAGCCACCUUCAAAGUUGGCACUUCGUACACUCUAGUAUCAUCAGUUACUGUUCCAACAAGCACUGCAAUUUUGUCCUCCUAGAUAUAAAACAAGAUGAAUGCAAUUAGCUUGAAUAGUUUAUAUGACAUGCUAUGCAGUUAAAUUAAAACUAUUUAUAUGACAUGCAACUUAAUUUCUUCUAUUCAAAGCACUUUUUGCUUCCCCUAUCCCAUGCAUCUGCACAACUUCACUUGAUAUUCAAGCUAAUUAUCAGUGGCAGCAAUACUAGUUUUGGGCUAUUAAAAGCGAUAUUAAGUUUUGGGAUGUUAAAGAACAUCUUAAAGUAAUCACUUGUAUUAGCUACACAGAACACAAGGAAAACAAAUCAAGGAAAAAAAUAAAAAAAGGCUGAACUUUGUAGCAAAACCCAUUUUGGAUAUCACUAACAACUAGCUCAAAUGGACAUCAAUGAGAAGCAGAAGUCGAGGUCAAUCAAACGAAUCCCCAAGUAAAACUCCAGGAACUAAGCAAAGUACCUUUCCUUCCAUGAACUUGACAAGCCUGGAGAGUGACAGAGGAGGCUUAUUGGUCUUACUCAUGAACAACCUCUUCAGCAGUACAGCAUUGAACCUGCUCCCUGUCCUCCUCACCAAAAAUCGGUACAACUACAACGAACACGAAGCACUCUAUAUGAAUUCAAAUACCUCUAUUCCCACCAAACUUGUACAUAUAUUACAUCAUCAACAAAAAAAAAGAGAAAGAAAGGAAAAACGUAAUCUUUAUGAUUAUGCGCUUGACUAAAGCUGAAUGAAAUUCUUCGGAGCAAUACUUACUAACCAGCCAAAAUUCAUGUGUUUGCAAAUCUAAGCUAGACAAAUGGAUUUCAUUCACGAACUAUCAGCAAUCCUUAUACUUUAUUUCUGAUUACAAAUAUGAAUACAAAUAAAAUUCUUCACAGCAAUGGUUUACUUACUUGACAAAUUCAUGUGCUCAUACAUAACGUGGUAUAAAAACAGAUUUUUCUUUAACAAACACACGAAUAUCAGACAGAGAUUUAAAAAAAAAAAAACCAGGCACCUUGACUAGGAGCUUGAGGUAGAUGUCAUGAGAUUUGGGGGCGGUACGCUUAGUCUUCUUAACUUUGCCGCCGGCUUUCAAAUCAAUACCCUGAAAAAUACCAAAAUUAUACACCACAGAAUUGGAUAUUAGGCUGAAAUCUUCGUCCCAGCGCAACUAAGCAGAGGGAGAGAAACGUAGAAAUUACCAUUUCUUCUUUUUCGAAGUCUUGGCGAAGACGAGAUUUCUGUAGGAGGCCGCGGGCUUGGCUGCUAAUGGAGUACUCGACGGCUGCUCCUCUAUAGUUUUGGAGGUUUUCUUAUUAGGGUAGAAAUGGGAUAGGGUAUUUGCCUGGGGAAUUGGCUCCCGUGACAAGCUGGUGAUGCUGUUUAUUACAGACCACUUGGAUCUCGAUCGUAGAAGGGCCAAGUCCGGUCAAUAAAGUAAUUUGGCUUUUCCUUUUUACUCGAGUAUUUGCAUUAAUUAUCACUGUGAAGGGGUUUUACUAAUAUUUUUAUUUUCUUCUUAAUUUCCAAAGAGAAAUUACACAUUUUCCUUUUUAUUUCAGUGUAUCGAUUUUACGCCUAGCCUUUUUCACUUUUUUUUGUUUUGUUUUGAGCAAAUUAUCUCAGUGACCACUAAACUUUUGCUAUCAUCGAGUUUUGGUCACUCAACUAUUAAAAGUCUGGUUUUGACCAUCAACCUGUAUAAAAGGUAGACUCGAGAUCCUUCUGUUAGAUUUAGUCGUUAACUUCGCAGAGGUGUCCGUUUGCGCGAUUUUCAAUACAAAAGGUAGGAUCAAUUUAGGAAAUCGAAAAUAGAUCUGCUUGUUCUUCUUGUAUAAAGCUAAUAAAGAUUACUUACCCGAGAGAAACUACAAGAGAAGGAAAUGGAAGAAGCCGAACUUGGAUUAGAGGAAGCAGGACCAAGAUCAACGCCACCAAGAGCCGGGCCAGCAAGAUCCAUGCCACCUACAUCGUUGAUACCCAUUUUGCCUACUUGUGUUUGUGGGAUGAAAACAGUAAUGAUAACUUCAUGGACUGCACAAAAUUCGGGAAGAAGAUUUGCCAAAUGCGCAUUGGGGGAGGUUUGUAACAUCUUUUUAGAUACUUAAUUUAUUAUUGUGUAAGAAAUAUAAUGAAUUUGUUUUUUUUUUUAUGGAUGGCUGUGGCUAUUGGGGUUGGAUAGAUGAUGAAAUGUGCGCUCGAUCUACAAUGAUUAUACCGGGUCUACUCAGAAAGAUCAAUGGAAUGGAGGAAAAAAUGGUUGAAUUUGAAAAAGCUGCAAGAAAGUGGGAAGCAAAAGCUGUGAAAUUGGAGGGUAAAAUGAAGCCACUUCAAACUGAAAUUGCCAAGUACAAAUCAGCUAAUAAGCGACUCAUUCGAUGCGCAGUGUUGCCUUGGCUAAUAGUUGUCUUAGCAAUGUUUGUUAUGAGAAUAGAUAAUUCUGGUGGCAUGCUACAAAUUUGUGGCAUCGUUGAAAAUCGCUGAAGAAUAGCUACUCUGUUGUAAUGGUAGCAUAUUGAAAGGGAAAGGGCAAAUGGCUUUAUAAAGCCCCUUUUGUACCCCUCUGUAUAAACAUUUUGAUGUAUAAAAGUUGAAUUAUUCACAUGAAUAAAUAGUUAUUAUUUGGUGUCAAAAAAGGUUUGAAACAACACAUUUCAGUUCUACUAAUUUCAUCAAUAAAUGAUAGAGACAUAAGAACUAAACAAAAGUGCUGCAUUAACAUAGAACAAUCUGUGUAGAUUGAACAAAAUAAAUUGUUUGUGCAUAUGGACCAUGUUCGUAAUAGGUCAGCAUAUCAAAUCCAAAACAAACUUCAUACAAAAAGACAAAAUGUAGUUGAAUUAUGUCCCAAUCUAGCUAUAGCUUUACUUCCUCUUCAAUUUGAUCCUCUUUUGACUCUUGGUUGUCCUCUGGUAGUUGUUGCUGAAGUUCCUCCUCUUCUAGUACCAGCUCUACUCCAUUUUCCUCUCCAAUUUUCAACAGUGAAAGGGGGUUCUUUACUUAAAUAUGCAUAAUUGGCAUUGAUCUGCCCCUUUUCUGAAUCUGUUAACUUUCGUUUUCCUGCUUUCCUUUGUUGAUGAGCCCCUUGGCUCUGAGACUGUUAUUGGUUUAGUACAACUUCUUCCUGCUGUCGAUGCUGUGCAUGUUCACUUUCCUCAACAGCAGAUUGUGAUUGCUGUUGUUGUUAGUUCUGCUGAUAUUCUUGAUCCUGCUGCUGUUGCUGAUCCUGCUGCUGUUGCUGAUCCUGAUGUUGAUUCUGUUGCUGGUGUUGUUGAUUUUGCUGCUGCUGAUAUUGAUCCUGCUGCUGGUGUUGCUGGUUCUGCUGUUGGGUCUGCUGCUGCCUUUUGGUGCUGCUGUUGGGCCUGAUGAUGCUGACUCUGAUGCUGGUGUUGGGUCUGAUGAUGCUGCCUCUAGUGCUGGUGUUGGGUCUGAUGUUGUCUCUGGUGCUGCUGUUGGGUCUGCUGAUGCUGCCUCUGGUGCUGCUGUUGGGUCUGUUCAUGCUGACUCUGGUGCUGGUGUUGGUUCUGCUGUUGGGUCUGCUGCAUAUUUUUAGAACCACGCUGCUGCUGUUGGUUCUGCUCCUGCUCCUCGCUAUCCUGAUUCUGCUGUUGUUGAUUGUCUUGUUGCUGCACCUUGCAACCAGCUGCAUUAUGGCCGACAACACCACAUUUUCUGCAAUGGAUGACUAUUCUUCUCCGCAACCUGUUUCCAGUCUUUUGAGUUUCAGUAGGAUCUCUUCUCCUGGCCUUCUUAGGUCUGCCAGGUUGCACUAUCCUUUCUGGUGGAUCAAGAUCCACCCCAUCAGCUUCAGGCCACAUUACUUGUCCAUUGAUAGGAUACAAAAUAUUUUUGUAAAUUUUUAGAAACAGAUCUCUGUUGUAGCAGUCAUACACCUCUUUAUAGGGGUCGCCAUUAUUUCUGUGAAUUGCUGCAAUAGCAUGACAGCAAGGAAUACCUGAUAGAUCCCACAGUUUGCAUGUGCAGGAUUUUUUCUUUAAAUAAACAGCAAACUGGGCCCCCCUUGGUCCCCUAACCUGGUAUCCAUCCACAGCAUUCCAAAUGGUCCUCCAUUGUCUUGAUUCUAUCACUCUAUCAUCAAUUAUUUUUUAAUUAGUGGGCCAAUGGACAAUUCAAAUUUCUCCAUUGCAGUUGUCCUUCUCUGUAUCCUCUCCAUCAGAAAUAUCCUAAUGGACUCUAACAUUGUGAUAAUUGACUGCUGCCUAGCUUCAAGUAUAUGACCAUUAAAACUUUCACACAAAUUAUUAACCAACAUAUCGCAUCGACUAUGUUCUGAAAAAAAAGCCUUACACCAAUGACUGGGAUGUGGUGCUUUCUUCAUCCAUUCAUAUGCUUCCUUGUCAAAUUUUUCCAGAUUUGUUGCUGCUUUCUUGAAUAGUCCCUCAGUAGUACUUGCUGCAAUGUUUCACAGUUUUGUCUUCAGGGCAAGUCCACGAUGUUUCUUCUUGAAGUUGUUAUACAGGUGCUGCACACAGUAUCUGUGCUCACUGUUUGGUAGUAUCUCAGAUAAUGCUCGGUCAAGACCCUAUAAAUUAUUACAAACAAAAGGCAUUAGUAAAUUGAAACAGAUCUGUGUACAGUGCAUAUACAAAGAGAAGGAGUUAAUACCUUCUGCUGGUCAGAAACAAAGGUGUAGCUGUACACAUUUUCAAUCUGCAAGUCAUUCUUCAGCAGCUCAAAAAAUCAUUUCCACUGUUCAGUUGCUUCUCUCUCAACCACUGCCCAAGCAAUGGGCCACCAUCCAUUGUUGGGAUCUACUCCAAUAGCAGUCAACAGCUGUCCCCGAUAUUCAGCCUUUAUAUGGCAUCCAUCAACCCCAAUAAUGGGCCUACAACCGUCAAGAAAGCCUUGUUUUAAUGGUCCCAAACAGCAAUAAAGUCUCAUGAAUUUUGGGUUGCAUCCAGGUUGUCUGAAAGGAGUAAACAUAACUUCCAUUGUGGUAUUUGGGUGUGUCCUCUUAAUUUCUGCACAAUAUCUCCAUAUGUCCUUAUAUUGCUGCUCUGCAUUCCUUUAAAUCUCCUUUUUAGCAAUUGCCCUUGCAUUGUAUGCCACCCAUUUUGAAAUUUCAGCUUUGAAGUCCUCAUCAACUAUUUGUCUUAAUAAUUUUGGAGGCAUUUCAACAUUACAUCUAAAUCUCUCCAUGUACUUGUUUGCAAGCCACUUAGCAGAAAUAUUCUUGUUCUUCCAUACAUGACUGCAGUUUGUGUGCUCAUUAUUCAUGCUCUUGACAACCAAAUCAGCUAUUUCAAUUCCCUCUCAACUGAAGCAUAAAUAAACCAUUGGCAAGGAGGUUUGCAUUUUGCUCUAAACCUUUUUUUUUCAUUUGUGUAUGGCUUUACUGGUUUUCCUUUCAUGAUGGAAUAUGUUCUAAUAGCUAAUCUUAGCUGUUCAGCUGACUCAAACUUCAUUCCUAUGUGAAACUCAAAAUUAGGGUCUUUUAGAUCUCUCUCCGGAUUGAAAUCAACAUACCUAUUCCUCCAGUCAUCAUCAUUCUCUUCAUCUGAGGAGCCAGCAUCACUAUGCAACUCAGUCACCACUGUGUCUUUAUCUAAUGCAUGGACAUCAUCUAAAUGAGGAGCUGCCUCUUCUCCUAAUGCUCUAUUGUUGUUUCUUCUCCUUCUAACUUGCUUCUUCCUCUGCAACUGUUGGUUUCCAGUUCCCACAUCCAUGGGUUGUUCUUCAUUUGUUUCAGGCUGCUGCUGAUGUUCAAAUUCAGUUUCAAGUCCUGAUUGUUGUGACCAUGGAUCCAUCCCAGCUGUUUGUUGUUGUCUGCCUAGCUCAUCUACAACUGAUUCUUGCUGUUGUGCAGCAUUAUUACAAUCAUCAUUAGAAUUGGGGUGUUGUGAAGAUCUAGGUUGCUCUGUAUUUGAAGAAUCCACACCAGAUUUUAGCCCCUCAACAAUCAAUUCUUCUAACAUUUCUUCAUCCCUACAGAAAUCCCUAUCAGCACUAAAGCGAUCACAGUCUCCAUCCGAAUCAAUAUCAGUCUCCACUUGGCCAUCUAUAUUUCCUCUAUCAUUUGCAUCCCCAUCAUUCCCAUUAUUCAAGGCGUUCUCUUUAGAAGAGUUCCCAACAUCUAUCUUGCCAAUUGAUCCUGUAAAUGGCACUAGUUCAAAUCCAGGUUCCCUAAUAACAUUUCCAUUUUCGUCAAGUUCCUCGAUGGUGACUGUGGCUUUUUUACUCAGCUGUAGAUCAGAAGGAAGGGACUUUGUGGCCAUCAUCUUGAUUUCAUUCUUUGACUGGUGGUCACAGUACACCUCCAUGAUUUUAUGCUUAUAAGUCCAAUUGCAAAAACUAAUAAUGGCUUUAUCAGUAGAUAAUUCCUUCAACCCAUUUCGAAAAUCUUUUCCAGGCUCAACAUAGUAAUACACCAUACAUCCAUAAUGCCCUAAUUUAUCCACCAUGUAGUUUAUUUCAUGCACAGACAUUGUUUCCGCAUCACAUAAAUCAACAUAAUCUACAUGCCCAUCAAUGUAUCUGUAAUUUUGCCAAUUGAAUUUACCCCCAUGAUACAUUCGUAUGGUGAACAGAGAAGAACCUGGCACUGCAUGACAUGCGAUUAGUUAAAAAAAUUAAAAUUUUAGUCAAAACUAGUAAACCCAAAUUCAAUGAAUGAAUUAUUUAUUAACCCAUUUUUCCAGCAUUAAGAAUACUUUAAUCAGUGUACUAUGAAAUCUCUAUGCUUUAUUGCAAAAAGCCAAAACAACGAUAAAAUGUAGCCCAUACAUACAUGAAACACACAAUCUAUUCUGGGAUGUGGAUAACUAAACAAACUUAGGGAUUUUAAAACUUUACCGUAUGCAUCAAAUGGAUCAAAAUGCUGGCCCCUUGGUCUAAUCAUCCACUUGGGCCACUCCAUCGUUCCAGGAAAUGAAGAUCUUGUUUGUCAACCCGUUCUGCUGUCGCUCAAUCCCCCAAAAUUCUUCGUUGUUGCGUUUUUCUUUAAUUGUCAAUUGUUUGAUGUUUGGGUUUAGGCAAGGAAGAAGAAGAACAGAUGCAUGGGAGAGGAAGAAGAGGUGCAAGUGAUAUUUUCGACUUCCUAAAUUGACCCUACAUUUUGUAUUAGAAAUCGCGCGGAAAGACACCUCUGCGAAGUUAACGACUAAAUCUAACAGAAUGGACUCGAGUCUACCUUUUUAUACAGUUUGAUGGUUAAAACCAGACUUUUAAUAGUUGAGUGACCAAAACUCGACGAUGGCAAAAGUUUAGUGGCCACUGGGAUAAUUUGCUCUUUUGUUUUUUAUACCUAUACGAUGAAUACUAUCAAUGUCCAUUGAAGAAGUUACAGCAAUGAAGGCAACAACAAAUACGGAAACUGAGAUCAUCAAAACACUAAGCCAGCCUUGCUGAUAGUUAGAUUGGUUCGAAGCAAGUCCUGUGAUUGACUUCGACGUGCUAUCUCGUUCUGCAUUUUUGGGCCAAGAUUUUACACAAUCUUAGGGUAUCCAAUUGAAAAUCAGAUCGGACCGAUCGGUUGAAUUGCGAAUUGGCCAUGCCUCCGAUCUAGUUCAAUUAAAAAAAUCAAAAAAUUAGUUGAACCGGUCAAGAUCAGUUGAAUCAGCAAAAAUCGGGAGGUUCAAUUGGUUUUUAUCAAGUAUUUAUUUUUUAAAAUAAAUAUUUUAAUUUUAUUCAAAUUUUUUAAUACUGAAAUGAAUAAAAAAUUAUUAAAUCUUUGAACUGGAGUCAAACUAGUUGACCGAUCGAAUCGUGAACCGAAAUGUUCACUCUUCGAUUCGAGUUUUAAAACAUUGAGGGGAUUGACCUCUGUGUACUACAUCGCUGUGUAUUCUUGAAGUAAAGCUCUACAUAGUUUUAGGGGAUUAGUUUGACCAAAAUGUUGGAAUACCCCUAAGUGAAAAAAAAAAAUCAAAACACUAUACAAAAAAAAAAAAUCAAAACACUAAACCACCCAAUAUAAAGACAAUUUUUCAUGCGGGUUAUGCAAUUAUAGAAGCAACCCCAUUGGCUAUGACCAAAAAAUGAGAGGAAUUUGAAAUCUCGAUAGUUAUUUGUUCAAAAUCGUACCAGUUUUUAUUAAUAAAAAAAAAUACCGUAAUAAAAGAAACAUAGGAAUUUGUUACUAGGUAUUUGACCAAAUAGGAUCGUCCAUUCCUAUAGAACAUAUCACUAAAAUAGCCCUAGAAGGGAUAAAACUAGAUGAAGUGAAAAGGAUUUAAGUUGUAUAAUUAUAUUUGUUAAUUUAAAUUUUUUUAGAAGAAAAGCUUGUAUGCAAAAUAUGUGAAGAUUUUGGCUGUUUUUUAUUUGAUUGAAUCUUAUAUACGCCAUCCUGCAGUCUCUCACGACCCUGAAGAAUCCUGCCAUGUCUCUCAUGUUUGCCAUUUCUUCUGCUUUUCAAAACGCACCGUAUCGAGCAAUCUCCAUAAAAAAACAGCCAAAAUCUUCACAAAUUUUGCAUACAAGCUUUUCUUGUAAAAAAAUUUAAAUUAACAAAUAUAAUUAUACAACUUAAACCCUUUUCACUUCACCUAGUUUUAUCCCCUUCUAGGGUUAUUUUAGUGAUAUGUUCUAUAGGAAUGGAUGAUCCUAUUUGGUCAAAUACCUAGUAACAAACUCCUAUGUUUCUUUUAUUAUGGGAUUUUUUUUUAUUAAUAAAAACCGGUACGAUUUUGAACAAAGAACUAUCGAAAUUUCAAAUUCCUACUAUCAAUGUAUACACUAUCAAAUUUUACACAUGUAUCAUAUAUCUAAUGAUGAUAAUGUAUACACUAAUAUUGUAUAUAAGAUUAAUCUUUUUUAUUUUGGGCAGAAUUGUUGUAGUCAAAAAUCAAGAGGGCUAGAUUGCGGUUAAAUCCCAUUUUUCUGCCUAAACAAAAUAACCAAUGACACUUCGUGCUAAUUUAGCUAGCCUUCGUCUUUAGUGUCAACGUUUUUUAACCAUUUGGCCGUGAAGAAAAUAACAAUGCAUGCAUCUUGUGCAUCAAAUUAUUCUCAAGUCAAUCAAUCCUACCCCCAUGCUAACGUCCAGCUAAAAUGACAAUUGAAGAGAAUCCUUUUCCUGGACAAAACAUCAAAGUUAUCUGUGUAGCAACAGUUCAGUAUAGUAUCUGAAUUUGGCUUGUUUUUUAAGGAUCAUCAGUUCAUGAAUUUCCAAUUCAUGUUUGACAGGCCAUCUCAAUUGUCAAUUUAUAAUCAAGUCGAAUGUACAACAAUAUACAUGAUCACAAAGAAAAAGAAGAUUCAUGAUUGCAUGAGCUUGAGGAAGCCAAAGCUCCUGUUCCCAGCCUUGUGCUUCAGCAUCAUUGACAAACAGACAAUUUAGCAGCUUCAGAGUCUCAGUAACCUCGAUUUGGCAUUAAAAACCCUGAUAUUCAAGCUCAAAAAACGCCUAUGCAACUCAAAAGCUAGUCAGAUCCACAGCUCUGGAGCCAAGGCUUGACCCUUAAGUCUAGUUCAUGGAGCAGUCACCUCAUAUGCAACAUCAACAGCUCUGGUUUUUCAAUGUACAGCUUCCAUUCAUUGCAGAACCUUGCAACUGUUGCCCCAUCAAGGACUCUAUGAUCAGCACCAAUAUUAACCUGAGAUAGUAAACGCCAAAGUGAGAGAGAGACAAAAUAAACUCCCAAAUAGCAACAAAGAUUUUGCAACCUUAUGAUGCGCUAAUAUCAAUAAUGGCAGGUUGCUGGACAAUUAUAUUUGCAAAAUGUGGAAUUGUUUAUACUGGGGAAACUUAGUGAACCAUUCACUACUUACAGUCAAGACUGACAUAGGAUACACAUUUCCAUCUUCAGCAAACUGAGGAACUUUCUGGAUGCGGCCAAGUGCAAUGAUGCAAACUUCGGGCACAUUGACUAGUGGGGAACCAAACUUUCCACCAAUUGCCCCUAUGUUACUUAAGGUUAUAGUUCCACCAGUUAUAUCAUCAGGGUUAAGUUUAUUUGCCAAAGCCAAUUGUUGAAGCCGUGAUAAUUCCUUUGUUAUCUGCAGAUAGAAUAUCAAUCAAUCAACAACUCUAGGCAAGCAAAAAUUGCAUAGUCCACCCUGACCUGAAUCCUUUUUGUCCUUUUCAACAAAAUAAAUAAUCAAGUAGGAAAAUGAUGCCCUGAAUUGAGAGAGAGUACUAACCUCCAAGAUCGAUAGAGAUUGGACCUUCUUAAUAUUUGGUACCACCAAACCAUGUGGAGUAGCCAUAGCAACUCCAACAUUAUGAGAUCCUUUUGAAGUGUGAAUGAAAUCAAGGUACAAGAUUUAAGUGAGCAACAAAUCAAGAGAGUUUUCAUGUUAAUGAUCAGACAGUUCAAUAAUGGAUGGACUUCUAUCCCCGUCAUCACUAUCAAUAAUUUCAUGAUGAAAGCGACUGUCAUACGUUUCAGUUGCUAAAAAUAACAAACUUCUAGCAUCUCUGAAUGAUUACAGAUACACCUGAAUCAAACUGUAUACAACAUCUACAGAUCCAAAUAUGAAACUAAAAGAAAAAUAACAAUGAUUUGGAAAAGUUCAAGACCUAAAUCUUCCUUCACUAAAAGUCUAAAAUGAUGACAAAUACACCUUGAAGCAAAUUAUUUUGUUGAACGCAAGCUCAAAAUUAUCUCAAGGACCCAAAAGAAGCAGUCGAGUUCUGGUGAGGUGGCUACAAUACGAGGAAAAGACCCAAGGCAACAUGUGGCCGGAACAAAAAAGGCAUAUCAGUGAUCAUAAGUGUGCUUAACAGUGAUCUCUUGUACAUCAUGUAUACAACAACGUAAUCCUGAGAUUUGGCACUUCAUAGACUACUGACCUUUAAGUGUAACCUCAUUCAGUUCUUCAUUCAAGCUGCUGUUCAGCCAUGGAUACUUACUGAUUGCCAUGGAAAGUGACUUUAUCAAGAUGGGAAGGAAAGUGAACUUGACAUCAGGAUCAGAAUUCUCAUUAUGAAAGGAAGAUUUGAGCUCUACAAGUGCAUCACAAUUUAUUUCUUCCACAUAAUGAAAAUGAGGAAUUUUAGCAGCUGAUGACAUGGACUUUAUCAUAGCACGUUGAUAACCCCUGAAAAGUCAAAUUCCAUUAGCUCAUCAUUUCCACAGUUAGCCAACUGAAGUUCAUCAUCUAUAUGAUAGCCUAUAAAAAAAAUAUACUUCCCCUGCCGCACACCACAACAGCAUUAAGUAAAAUCUACUAUAAUGACAUCAUCAACCCAUAAAAUAUUGCCAGAGGUUAAGACAUAUAAACAUAUUGCGAAGAAAUGGACUGGCAAUCCUCUAUCAGAAAGACCAAAUUACCAGAAAACCUCAGCUUCCUCCUAAUGAAAAUAGAUGUGGAGUAAUGGACAGAACACAAAAUUCUAUUAAGUCCUCUCAGUGAAAGAGUAGCAGUAUGAAAACUGAAACAGAGAAAUGACGGAGAGAAAAGAAAAACAAUUCUUCAACAAGUCAAACAUAGAAGUCGAGAAAAUUUUAAAUAUAUGUCUUCAUUCACAGAGAAGACAUGCCUUAAUGUAACAGUCUUAUCUUCAAAUUCCCAUCCGUAUGCGCCGGAAAUACCUCCGAAGCUGUUGUCAGCUACCUGUGACUGCUCUCCCGAAUAAGCACCCAAAGAUGUUGGAUCCUUAAUAUUUUCUUUCUUAGCAACAUAAUUUAGGACAUCCUCUCUCAACACUCUUCCAUCUUUACCAGUUCCAACAACAUCAUUUAUAUCAAUACCAUAUUCUUUUGUAAGACUACGAACUGCAGGGGUGGACAGAACUUUCUUAAUGGCACUCCUCUGAAGCACAGAACUGGGAGAAUCACCUUCAAGACCAUUGCAGUUCAAAUUAUCCAAAGGAUGCAAAGUUUGCAUAGGGCAAGCAGUUUCAUCAACAAUCAUUUUCAAUAGUGUUUCUCCAACCUGCAAACCAAACGAUGAUGAGGAUAUUACAUUCUUUGAAAGACCAAAAUCAAGACUCUGCAGAUAUGGAUUGUACAAGAGGACAAACAAAAGUUCCAAAAAGGGACGAUUCUACCAAUGCCAAAAUAGUAGAUAGGUGGAGGAAAUUCUGGACUGAAAUGGUGAUCAAGACAAGCCAGAAUGAGUAGCCAUCGAUGGUCAAUCUUAAAGAAGAUUAACUAUGCCCAUAUUUUCUAGAAAAGUAAUCGUUGAAGGUUUAGAACAAAGAAAAUUAUUGGCAGUCCCACACUUACAUGUCUCGAAACAAAUAAUAUAUAGCCACAGCUCAUAGAGAGAAUGGACUUGUGUAAAAGCAUAUGAAGGUGCAUGAAAGACUGGUUUUUUAUGUUACCUUUACAAUGUUACCAGGAACAUGGAGAAUUUGAGAAACUUUUCCUUUGUAACGGCUGGUUAUUUCGAUGGUAGCUUUGUCACUCUGAACUUCACAAAGUGGUUGGAACUCUUCAACUUCAUCACCCUGCAAGAUUUUUUUUUUUUAAUCUUCAUUUGAUAUAAGUAGCAGUCUCACAUGGACAACCUGGGAAAGAUGUCUCUGGUCUGCAAUGUUGCAUUCACUGUUCUAACCAAGUAUCAAGGACAAGCAUGUUGCACAUGACUCGAAUACCUAUCUUAAGCUGCACGUAGUUGACGUUUGUUAUCCCAUGCAUGCCUUCAAAGAUUUUCCAUGUAGCAGGUGUUUCAGAACAGCUAAGUACUAUUUUUAUUUGGCAAGUCUUCUCUAACUUAAAAAGUCUUUCAAUAUUUUGUCGAGUCUCCUGAUUUUCGCUUUAGAUAAAGAGCAUUCAGACUUUCAAACACGUGCAAGCCCCAGAUAACUCGUGACAACAUCCAUGAUACAUAGGUUGUUUCUGGAUACUUCCAAAUUUUUGCAUGAAAUAAAAUAACAAGUAUUUGUACAUGUGACAAAAGAACAGCUAAAAACGGUGUAUAGCCCAUCUCGUGCUAACAACAUGGGAAGGAUGAAUAAGCUAGAGACUAGUGGAAAGAAAUUUUCUUCAGAAAAGAUAAUAGCAGUAGGCUGGGUGAUAUGCCAAAAUACAGCCCAGCAUAGUGAUUCAACUAAGCUUAGAAAUAGAUCAUAACUAACCUCUUGAAUAAACCAUUUCAGGAGUUCACAUUCAGCAAUACCUUCUCCAGUUUGUGCCAAAGGAAUAUCAACUAUCCCACCAACCGGAGAAUCAACUACAACUUGAGUUGAAAAGCAACAUCUUCUCAUGCCAAACUCGUAAUUUGACUGCAAAACAACAAGAAGAGAGAAAUUAACAAGUAAGAAUAAUGAAUAGCAACUGCAAUUUCCAGUCCACUUCACAAGUUCUUGAAAAAAAAAUUUGCACCAACACAAGAAGCCAGCAUCUAUAUUCCUACUCUAACAGACAAAUCUCGACACAGGCACAGCAUACAAACAUAAUAUCCAAAAACACAACUUUUCGGCUCUUCAUAUGGAAAUGGCUUCACAUAGAACGAUGUCUUGUUUAGAAUGAGUACAUGGAUAUCCCUCCAGGGGCACAUUUUGCCUUGCAAACCGUAUAACAAAUCCCUCCCUUUUUCCACUUCUACUUGGAACAAAUACACAAUUCAACUCACCAGACUACUCAAGCGGUAGGACUACUGGCAUAAAAUAGUUUUAACAUGAAAAAAAUAUUCCAAACUCCCCAGCUUUUAACAAAAGGACCUUUAUGAAAACCUUACAAAUGCCAUUCAUUUCAUUCACCUUAAUGAGUCGGAUAAAACAAUCUGACUUCUGUGAUUCUGAAAAUUAAACUAAAUAACAUCCUACAUGGGCAUCAAAGCACCACAAUUCACAGGAAAAAUAAACAAUAAAAUGGCUACAGAAUUAAGGGAGGGAGCUAUAGCACACAACCAAAUGACGAAAAUCUGCUUUAAGAAAACAUAAUCACAAUCACCGGUAGCACCAAAGGAAAUCCCAGAACAGGAGUUUAGCUACCGACAAUAAAUUCAAUGAGAAACAGAGUUAAUGAUGGUUGAUUACUUCAUUGAGCUUAAUGUAUUGCAGAAACGACAUCGUUGAGCAGGGGACGAUGGAAGCUUGGGAAGUCGAACCCAGUGAUAGAGUGGUUGUUAGGCCUUGGCCAGGACCACCGGUGGCCACCGGCGGCCGAGUAGGAGCAGUGGACGAGUAUAACCACCGCCGGCAGGUAAUCCAUGGCUUCCGCUGAUGCAUUCGCCGGCAAAGCAUUGUGCAAUGGUAAGAGCUGGAGUAGCGUGCGACCGCUUCGUUGCAAGUAACGUACUAGCAACUAAUUAAACCACUUGGGAUGGGAGAAUUUCUGCUUGGUUACGUUGUUCAGUAGAUGGAACGUAAAAUUUUUAAAUUUGUUUAUUUAGGAAUUAUUGAGAUGAUUAGCAUUUGUCCUCAUUUGAAAUUUGACUGCUGCAAAUUUUUUAAUGAAUUUAGUUAUAAUAAUAUUUUUAAAAAGGAUUCAAAAAUUUUAAAUUAUAUAUUUUAAAAUAUUCAAAAAUUUAUACAUUUCAAAAUAAUUUUCUAUGAUUUUUAAGUAAAUUUACUUAAAAUUUUUUAUAAACACUGAAAAAAUUCAUUCGUCAAACGGACCCAAAAAAGUUACUAGAGUCCUUUCCAUAAUAUAUUGCCAUAAAAAAUAUUUUUUAUUGUUUUUAUUUUGUCAUGAAAGAGAUGGUUAAAAUGGUACGGAUUAUUUUCUUUUGGAUAAAAUUUUUUUUUUUCGGUGUACUGUGAGUAUGUAAUGGGUGUAUAUGUUUGUCAAAUGAUGAGCCUGGGCCCAAGAAAAUUUUGUGACUGUAACCAACUCUUUGCUCCUAUACUAGGAGGAGCGUAAGGCCCAAAUUCUGAUAAACAGAUCCAUUUAGCCCAAACUGAUAGACCAGAGCCAUUGGUCCUUUAUGAAAUACGCUUCGGGUUCCGACUGGUUGCUAUUGGGGCAGUUCUGUUGGGGCUAAAUUGAACUGCAUUAGCAGUGCGAGGUCUGGAAUUUUUUGAAUUUCUGGCUUCUUUCAGGUGUUUUAUGACAACAUAAUAAAUUUUGAAUAGAGGACUAGAAUAAUUGCGCUAAACUCAAAUCGCUUGCUACUAGUGCUUUUUGAUGAGGUUUGUCUUGUAGAAGUGCUCAAACCGGAUUUGUGAUCAAUUGCACGUAUGAUUUACUAUGCAAAAAAAAAAAAAAAGAAAAGAAGAAGAUGGUAUAGCCAUCUUUUUUAUUUCCCUAGGCAAAACAUGUAUCAAGUGUCUUCAUUUCUCCUUUUGAUUACUAAGGCCUUGUUUGAUAAUCCAAUUCAGCACUUCAAUUUUAUAAAUUCAGACCUUAACAUGUUAAAACGUGUUUAAUAACCAAAAAUUGAAUAUCUGAAUUAAUUAAAUGAUAUUAAAUUUUUUAAAUAAAAUUUGCUCCAAAAAAUAAGUGAUAAGCUAUGUGAUAUACACUCAAGAUUUUAGUACUUAAUAAUUCAAUAAAUUAAUGAAUUCAGACUUCUCACGUUUCAGUUUUUUAUCAACCGCACCCUGAGUGAGCUAGUCAUCAUUAAAAUCAUCAUCAUUGUAAGGAGCGCAGUUCUUAGAAGCUUGAUUAAUUUUGAAGACAGGGAUAAAUGGAAUUAAUAGGUAGGGGCAUGUAUACGGUCCUACCUGUUUAAAAUUUCACAAAAUGAUGCUGCUGGAAUCGAUCGUGCAAUGUGCCGGAUCGAGUUGACCAGUAACCGCUUCUUGCGAUUGUGACCUCACCAAAUUUUAGGGGACUCCUGUAAUGGGAUGGUGCUUUUUCCAUUUGUGAAAAGCUUGUCCUCCUCUUUUUCACGUCAAUGAAAAAAAAUUCUUGUACCCUCUUGUUACUGAUGUUAGAAGUAGUAAAGUGGUUCCUUCCUCUCCUGUACUCAUGUUACUGAUGAAAAAUGUGUGCCCUUUUGCCCAUGACACUCAUUUCUUUUUUAUUCUAGUUGGAAGUCGUCAGAAGGUGGUGAGAAUUAGGACAAUGUCACGUCUCAUACACUAGCGUACAUCCUUAUAGAAAGAUUCCCACAUGGCUAAUGUGCACUUUUGCAUCAACUACUGCUAUUCUCAUCUUCUAGUCCUUCCAAAUACUUAGCUAGCUUAGCAUGUCCUGCUUUAUAAGGAAAAACUCUCAUCUUCCACAACUUUUAUUAAGUUUUUCGUGGCUUCAUCAUCAUCACAUGCAUGCAGAGCUGCAUGGACAGUUUCAUCUUUCUUUUAAUGCCACAUGCCAUGUGAGAAGUGAGGACUAAGAUGGCCUAAACAAAUUGUUUGGACUCCAUGAGUCCCAAGACACUGGAGAUAUGACUUCACUUCAGUUGUUAUGCACAAUGUUUGCCUGAAUUCCAUCGUGUCCAGAUGGUCCAUGAAACGUUUUGAGCUUAAUCAAUUAAUUUGCAGUGCCCAUGAUUCUCUUCACGUUUCCAACAUAAUGUUGAGAAGGAAAUAAUGGAUCAUGAACUCCUCUGCAUCUGAUACCAAAUGAAAACAACGCGUUCCCAAGCAAGUUCUCCCCAUGGAAAAAUACAUUUGCUGAGCAGAAGCACACUCUACUGUCAUGCACGUUGUCCUCUUUAAUCAAGAGAUUCCAAGUGGGGUCAUGACGUUUUUUUACCCUGGGGUGUCUGAUCAGCUAGACCAAUUUGGCAGAAACAAGAAAUUAUCAGUCCAAAGUGAAAAGGUAAGGAAGAAAAUAAAAUGUGUUGGUGCGUGAAACGUAGACUUGAAGGCAUGAAGGGGAGCAUGCCUAUGAAGAUAAAGGCUGAGCCAGUGGAUUGUCCGCAUUUCCAUGCGCAAGAAAAUUGGUGGCAUCCCAUCCAAAUAUAACUUCAAACUUGGACUGUGACUUGCUGUUGUGAUCCGGUCUUCGGGAUGAUGGUGAAUUGAUAUUAUUAUUAUUGAUAACCAGAGAAAUUUCAGCUUUCAGACAUGCUGGGAAACUGUCUUCAAUUGCAAUACUACUCAACACAAUUGCACUGCUGGAAUGAUACCGAUGGCUCCACUUACAAAUAGAGGAAAUUUGGGUGUCCACUGUCCACCCUGCAGGAAAGAUUUUGGCUUUGGAAUUAACUAUGGUUAAUAAAUUCGUGGCUCGUUUCUCUCUCUCUCUCUCUCUCUUUUUUUUUUGUUCGUUUUUUUAUGGUAGUGCACCUUAAUGUUGGUAAUAUUGAUAAGGGAGAACAAAAGGGUACGUGCAAAUCAAACCCUUCUUCUAGAACCAAAAAAUGCAAAGUAUAUCAAACAUUAAUGCCACUAACUGCAUAUUUGUGUCAUUUUAUGGCUAGAAGUUUCAAAGUGGUUCUGGAAACUCUCAAGGAAAUCUCUUUCAGUCCUGCAUGCUUCCACCAUUUACGCCUCUGUGAAAAAGUACUCAUGAUCUUCAAGAAUUUUUUAAGAAUAUGAGGAAAAGUGUUCACAGCACACAUAUUUUGCGCAUUUGUGGUCGGAUCCAGUACCCAACUCCUGCAUAAUAUAUAUAUGUCCAUCGGGCAUGAGACCAUAUAAUGUGGACAAUCUAUCUAUUAGUCGGAGAUUGUCUCCACUUGCUGAAUUUCCAGCUAACAAAGAUGCUAAGCUACAAUAGUAGGGUUAAAAAUAACAAUGAGUUUAUGUUGACAAACCAGCUCAAAUGAGGAAAAGAAGUGCUACAUCCUGUAUGAAAAUAGUCAACAUUCGUGGGUCCUACUGACUAAGGAUUAUUGCACUAAGAUUUACUGGAUAGAUCUCCAUGUGGAGUUCAAUUUUUGACCAUCAUUAGUCCUGUUGUUGGACCUUGAUAAUCCACCUUCUAGAUAGCUUAAGAUUUGAGGUUUCUUCCUUCUUUUUUUUUCCUUGUCAAUAUAAACAGAACAAAGAGCAGGCACAUGGAGGAGCUAGUAGUGAAAGUGAGAAUGUGGGACUCGACUUUGAACUGAGAAUAUUAGCAUUCAUCAAAAUGCAUGUCAACUUUCUGCAACUGCAACUUUGUGGGUUUAAGCUGGGAAACUUGAAAGAUCAUCUACAAUGCUAUUGGUGGUUAGUACAUUAUCCUUCUAUUAUGAUUAACAAUCAGAGAUGAUCGCACAACGGAAGGGUUGACACGACAUCGUAUAUAUAUAUAUAUAUAUACUGUGGCAUUGUACAAGAUACCCAACCUUAAAUCCCCUAUCGCAAAAUAUACCAAUCCUCUUAUUCCACGACAUCAAUUGUUGGGAGAUUAUGAACUGUCGGUGGUUCCAGUGGUUUGAUACAAUGCCCCAGAGAUUGGAACCAGAAUAGCCACAUAUAACAUCAGUGUAACAACCCCUUUUGAACACAGCAAGGAGAUUUGACAUCGUAAAAGUUAUAAACGGGCUCUCUCAACAACCGUACGAAUUUAGCUGUUAAAAUGGCAUUGGGUGGGAAGGUAUAACAUCCCAUCUUCGACAUGUAAUAAGUUGAUGCUUGAAAUGCAAUUUGUCUGCAGGAUUAUGACCAGUGGUGGGGGAUGACUGCUAGUCUCAAUUAGGUUUGGGUUUCCAAGUCAUUUGCUGCAACUAAUAGGCACAUGCAUGGUUUCUUAUGAGCAAGACAAUGCUUAUUUUCUGUUGUUAUAAAGCGCCGAGCCUUUUAAUCAAACAUCAUAGGACCAGCACAGCAACAGUGGAGAACAGUGAUAAGAUUGAGAAGCCAAGGAGAAAUUUCAACACGCAUAUGGAGAAUCAACGUCAAACAAUUAUUAGGCUUCGGGUCUAAAGCUAGUUGGCCAAUACCCUAAUAAUAUAUCAUUUUGAGAGUGCGUAGACUAAGAUUACUGCAUCAGCUCUUAGGACCAAACAUAGUUUAAUUAGUACUAGUUGGAAAUGUUUAACACAAUUUUCUCAUCUGGCAUAAUCAUGAUCAUGACUUUAGUAGUUGUCAUUUCAUUCAUUGUUCAUCUGUCUCCAUCUUUUCUUACGUCUUCCUCCGACAAGAGUUCGCUUAUAAAAAAUGAUUAUUAAUCACGAUAUUAUUAAACGAUUCACACAAAUAUGAAAAUCCCUAAAGUCGAUCAAGCAGGCAAGUAGUUUGUAUUCGUGCUUAAUUAAUCGCUUAGUAUAUAAUUUUUCCUUUCAUUAAAUCCAUGCACGUCUUCGCGGAAAGAAAAAGUACACGCAUGUUUUGUACUUCACUAAAAUUAGAGUACUACAUACUACAAAGUAAAAAACAAAGGGUAGACCCUAUGCAUGGUAGUAGUAAAGGAAAGGUUCAAGCCAAAUGCUUUGUACUUGUAGUAGCCAGAUAAUUAACUUGUUCCAAUGAUUUGGAAGUGUUUACAAGUUUAAACACGAAUAACCAUGCAUGCACGCAUGUGAUAUCACACAAGCAUUCAUUCAUUCAUGAAGAUGCCUCAUGCAUUCAUUGCAUGUUCUACAUAAAUUGGUACAAUGAAACACAAUAAUUAAACAACUUGUAAACUAACAUAGAAAUUGGAAAGUAAGAAUCCAAACAGGGUAAUAUAUCACAAUAAUUAAGAUUACCAUUAAUGCUGACUUUAGAGACAAGAAGCGUGCUAGUACUGAACAACAUAGGGGUUGGCCCCGAGAUCUUGGAUCCACUACUACAGGAAUUUUCACGUAAGCAUAAUAAGAUUGGAAGGAUGUUGCCAAGGCUAUAAAUAUUAAGUUGAAUGUGACAUAGACCUAAGCACAGGCUUCUAUCUCCAACCACCAAUUAUAGAUACUUGCCAUCAUUAACAUGGAAAAAGGUGUGACCUAAUUUCAAUAAUCAAAUGCAGUCUAUUACUCCUGUGGUCCUGCUCAAAUGGUUUCUACCGUAUAUCAUUAUUCAUAAUUUGAUUAGGGAGUAGUUCCCUAGGGUAGAUUACGAACAAAAAUCUCAAAGGUUGGCAAAAGGGUCGGAAAUUUAAACGUAAAAAAUGGUUUUUUUUUUUCAGCGUUUGAUACUGUGAUUCGAAGAAUAGCAGCAGUGUACAAGUAGAAUAGAAGAUGGAUGGAUUGUGUCAGGAUGUACAGAAUCAUGAGAAUAUGAUGAGAUAAAGUAGCACUGGAAACUAUAUAUAUAGAGUUGAGCAUUAACCGUGUCUAGAAAUGACAAACUUUCAGUUUGAUUUUAAUCCGGCCUGUCCUUUUUGUUUACAAAGUGGAUGAAGUUGGUGAUUCAAAUUAAUUUUCAAGGUCAGCAGCGGCUUGGACUCUAAAAAUACAAUCAUGGGACAUGGAUCUCCCAGCAGCAUCAAAAAGAUUAACGGGUGUGAUCUUCAAAUUAAAUGGCAAUAACAGUAAAAGAAAGAAAAUACUGGCACCACCCCAAGAUUAAUGAUAUAUAUUAACCUAUUUCUUAUGUUGUUAGUUUGAAUGCAAAGGAGAGUCCUAUAACAGAAGAAUAGACGAGCCCAGCAAAAGCACAAUACAUUGCUCAUGAACAAGUACUGUCGUAUGAUUAUCGUACAAUAAAAAAGCUGAAGUCAUUGUCAGUCGCUUGGUUACUGCCGCAUUAGUUCAGAGAGGACAAUUUACAUGUCACUAAUCUGCUUCUUCCAAAGUAACAUUAACAACUUAACCCCCCCGGCACCAUCCUUUCCAAAGCAAGAUCGAUUGAAAUGAAAUCCCAUCAGCCAGUUUCAAACGAUAUGCAAUCCCAAGGAUGGCUAAUAAACUGCCAAACUUUUGGAGCAGCAGCUUUGCAAGAUGAAGACAAGGUAAACCGAAUUUUUUUGGGUUGAAGUCCCUGAAUUUAGUGAGAAGGUUCAAUUUUGGGGUCUACUCGUUUCAUCUGUCCAUUUGGUCCUAAAAAAAUGUUUCCUUGAAAGCAUCAUCUCACCCGUACAAUAAAGUCUUAUGCGUCUGCUUCUACUUGUUAAACAUGUCCAAAUUUCCUUACCCAUCCAUUUAUUCUUCUGGUUUAAUCAAUGAGCUUUUUGUACAACUCAUGGAUUUAAUCCGUAGCGUUCUUUCUUUGCAUUUAUAGCCGUCACCAGAAACUGACGGUGCCUCAAUUUGGUCGGAAUCCAUUCGAGAAUACAAGCGGACACCCAAUUUGAGAGAGAUUUCUAUCUAAGUACUAAAUAUACUGAUGUAAAAAAAAAAAAGAGAGAGUUUUGAGUGUUGGAAGUGAGUUUUUUGGAUUAGGUAAAAGGCCCUUUACGUAAUUAACCUUUUGUUUGAGGGCCUAGCCUAGGGGAGGAAGAACAUAAUCUUCGUAGAGACAUCAUAUUAAUGACAUGAUAAUGAUUAUAUUGCCAUAUUACUGCACGAAAAGCUUCUUCAUGUGAAGAAGAUAGGCAGUGGAUUUAGGUAUUAUAACAUUUGAGCGCGAUACUUGUGAAGAGGAUGUGGAUAUGUUCUCACAUAUAUAGCAAAAUGACAAACCACAAGGGGGGGAGGGGGGGAGGGGUCGUUUAGGAUGUGGGAACCUCUUUUUUAAUCACACAAGGGAAUAACACGUUUAACAGUGCUCUAUUACACAACUCUACUACUCUCCAGUCCCCAGAUUGAGAACUCUCACUAAUAUCUCAAAAAGUGAUCAUCGCCCCCUGCACUAUAUAGCGCCCCCCUCUUUAUCCUUUUGGACACGAGCCUCAUUUUGUGCGUGUAUAAGACAGUGUGUUCCUGUCUCUGUUGUGCGUCUGUGUGAGCAUGCACAUCUGUUGGUUGCAUGGUAGAAAAUAGCAUCUUCUCUAGUCAAUAUUCCUUGAUUCUAAUCCUUUACUGCAUCAGACUUCAUCUUCCUGACCUAUCAAAAGUCAAGCAAACAAGGAGAAUACACAAAAAGGAAUCAGAUGGAAGCCGAGCAAACCAAAAAGAGCCCGACAGUUUCAGAGGUACAAUUUGCUAAAUCUCAAAAACUUCCAGCAUAUCAAAUAAAAUGGCUAAAGAAAUUACACUGACAUGCCUCUUUUUCCUUGUUUUGCCAGGUAAUUGAGGAACUAAAGAAAAUGAAAGACAUAAGUUUUCCCAUAUUUGCAAUCGGCUUGGCUGGCUACCUGAAAAACAUGAUUUCAGUGACAUGCAUGGGAAGGCUAGGGAGCCUCGAGCUAGCAGGUGGAGCACUAGCUAUUGGCUUCACCAACAUCACUGGUUACUCUGUACUAUCUGGUCUAGCCAUGGGAAUGGAGCCACUAUGUAGCCAAGCUUUUGGCUCAAGAAAUACAAGCAUUGCGUCUCUCAUUCUACGAAGAACAAUUCUUAUGCUACUUGUUGCAUCCUUGCCUAUUGGGUUGUUAUGGAUCAAUCUCAAGCCUCUGAUGUUACGUCUCCACCAAGACCCAGAGGUAGUAGAUAUUUCAAGCAUCUACUGCCGGUUUGCAAUCCCGGAUCUUAUUGCUAAUAGCCUCCUUCAUCCUAUACGCAUCUACUCACGAAGCAAGGGUAUUACAUGGCCACUCCUAUGGUGCACUUUGCUUGCCAUAAUUCUUCACCUCCCAAUCACCACCUUCUUAACCUUCAAUCUUCAUCUCGGAAUUCAGGGAAUUGCAAUUUCGAUCUAUGUUACCAACUUUAACACCUUAUUCUUCCUACUUGCUUACCUACUUUACUACACUUAUGCACCAAGUGAGGCAUUGUCUAAACCCCUAGCACCCAAAUCAAAUUCAACUUCGUUAGGGGAAGACUGGAGAAUGCUACUUCGACUUUCCCUACCAAGUUGUCUGGCAGUUUGCUUAGAAUGGUGGUGGUACGAGAUAAUGACACUUUUAGCUGGCUAUCUUGAAAGACCUCAAGUUGCUCUUGCAACAUCAGCUAUAGUCAUACAAACCACAUCUCUCAUGUACACACUGCCUUCAGCACUGAGUGCAUCAAUCUCAACGAGAGUAGGCAAUGAACUCGGAGCAGGCAGACCAUACAAGGCACGUUUGGCAACAGUGGUUGCCAUAGGCUUGGCCUUUAUAACCUCAGUUUUUGGCUUCUUAUUGACUACCAUAGGGAGAGAAGCAUGGGGGAGGAUAUUUACAAAAGACACUGAAGUCCUAGAGCUAACACUGGCCACACUACCCAUAAUUGGACUGUGUGAGCUGGCCAAUUGUCCACAAACAACAUGCUGUGGGGUGCUCAGAGGAACUGCUAGGCCCUGUACUGCUGCAGGUAUUAAUUUCUACUCCUUCUAUUUGAUGGGAACACCAGUAGCCAUAGCAUUAGCCUUUUUUUGGGGACAAGGGUUUUUGGGCCUGUGUUAUGGGCUUUUAGCAGCUCAAGUGGCAUGCAUGGUCUCUAUCCUGACAGUGAUAAGCAAGACAGAUUGGGAAAGAGAAUCACAAAAAGCAGUAGACUUGGUUGGAGAAACUUGCGAAAAUAGGUACCAAGAUGAAAUUGCCAAAUGUGAAGAAGGACACAACUCUCAGAAACAGAAUAGCUUUGAAAAGGCAAAUGGAUUAAGACUCAAAUAGCAAUCUGAAGAUGGUACUAACAGGGCAGAUAUAGCAUACCCAUCAUUUUACUCUAGGCUAUAUGUAUUGUAUCCCGAACUAUUCAUCUACUACUGAUUUUCUGUAUGUAGACUGAAGUCAAACUACUCGUCAAACAUUUAAUAUACGCACUGAAGAAUUUCUGAACUAAUAGCAUGUCCAUUCUUGCCAGAACAGUUCAAUUAACACUCAAGACAAAUGACAUUCUGCUUUCCCUCAGAAGCACAACAAACUUACCAAGUAAACUUUUAUCGUCCUUAGGGAUAUUCUUUUCUUUGUUCAUUGAAGCAACAACAACAAAUCCCCCAAACCGCCACAAUUCUGCGAUGUAAUUAAUGCUGCAAUUACACCCAAACAUUGAAAAUUUUAAACAUAAGCGAGAUAAUAGCAGUAAAGUUAUAAAGAAAUACGUGCAUAACCACAAGGGCUGCUUUGUAGGCAGAAACAUUCAAACAAUUUAUGAAAAUAGUUACAAACAAGAAAGCUGGUGUUUUCUAGCUUUUACCAUUUAGAUGAAGGAAAAACAGUUAAAAAAAAAACCCCAUUUCUUUAGCUCAGAUGAGAACUCGGUCCUAUUUGGAACUUCAAUCUUUCAGAUUAUCAUCUAUUUAAGACAACACAAACUGGCUCAAUAGGAAGCAUGAUAUCUGAAGAAGCCAGUAGACCCACUUUUACCUGAGAUAGCACCUUUGGCAGUUCCUAGCUUCUCAACCAUGCCAAUAUUAUGCUUCUUUAGGACGCAAAUAUCUGAUAGUAACCCAAUGGCAUACUCCAUUCACUUCUCUUACCACAUUAUCUUCCCCUGAUCAGUCUUGACCAGUCAAAAUCCUGACCAAACCUGUGGAAAUAACUGAAAAAUCAAAUUUAACUCAAUGAAGAUAAUGAAAUAAGCUCUUUCAGUUACAUGUAUUUCUCAUAUACAAUAUUAAAAAUAUGCAUAGCAACAAAUCUGGACACUUUUACAAGACUCAAUGCAUAAUAUUUAAAACUGAACACUUCUUCUUUUGUUCAUUUUACAUUACAUCUAGAAAACUAAUCAUUAACCCACAUUUUUGAGUCAUCAAGUAUUGAUUUUUCUUGAUCAUCCCAGUGGAACACGUUCAAGCACCCAGCCAUCUACAUGUAAUUCGAAGGAUCAAAUUUGUGUUUUUGAUUACCAAGCAUGAGAUGCAAGUCAAUCCAUACCCUCUGAAAAAGGCCCAACACUAUAAACUGAUAACUGCAUUACCAGCGUAUAUUCAACAGUUCAACUCUUUCCAACAGAUAAUUAACUGAUGCUAAUACAACAAUGAAAGGACCAUUCAUGUGCACAUCUGCAAAUUUUUUGUUUCCAAUUUCCCAUAGGAUGAAAAAAUUUGCUGGGAUUGAAUUUCAUUUAGUACCUAUUGAGGUCAGAUAAAAACUAGAUUUAUAAAAUUCGUAUUUCGCUGAGGUGACAGAUCAUGAUGGAAAAAGCAACCAAAAGAGAAAAAAAAAAGAAAAAAUAUAAAACAAGAACAAACUAAGUUUCUUUUUAUCAUAGGGCAAGUUGUAUAAGCCAGCAACAUGUAUUUGAAUCCAUAAUAUCCUCCUGCAUUUAGGUAUACAAAGCAAUGGCAAGACAGUGUAAUUUGAUGCAGUGAAUAAGAAGACCUUCAAAAAUAUUUUGAAAUGGCUAUACAUUUAUUUCCCUGGAGACUAAGCGCAACAAAAUGGUAGUUAUCCGGAAAUGGCAUUCUAUCAAAAUUGAGUUCUUUGUCAAUAUUAAAAAUUAAAAAAAAAAAAAUUUGACAUUUUGACCCAAUUGAUUUGAUGGCUAAAAUGCUACAGUCAGCAUGUAUUUAAGAAUGGAUAGAUCUUUCACUUACUUCUUAGGUAUUAAGAUACUAAGCACUUUAAACAUUUAACUAUUCAGAAAUUACAACUAGGUGCUACAACAAGAAUGAAUGAAAUGGCAUAAUACAACCUUCAAAAUGUUUAGAUGGAUAAUACUACCUUUAAUUCUUCUUUGUGUACUAGAGCCUCGAGGAACAGUAGCACUGAUUUGAUUUCAUAUUUUGGUAACAAGAAAUUACUGAAUACUUCUGGAACACCUGUCAUCAACAUAAACACGCUCCAUUACUCCUGAACAACUGAUUUGAUUUCCUUUAACCACAUCCCUACCAAACGCAUCAAAUAAGCCAAUUUUGCACGUAACUGUUGGAUGACAAAAACACCAAAUGAAUACAAUAAAACACAGAUCAGUUGAUUUAUUGCAAUCCACUCACACACUCGAAUGCUAACGGAAAAAAGAAAGCAACAAGAAGAAAAUUCAAAUAAGACAAUCAAAAGCAUAAAAUCAGUUGAUUUUUGGCCAUGCAGCAGCUGAACAGCAGUUCAACUUAGCCAUUGAUACAAGGGCACUCCCAUUUCUACACACAAAAUCUUCACAGUAGCUCUGACUCAUUUCCCCAAACUAACUUUUCAUUCUUUCAAGUGACAAUAUCUUUAAAUUCUUGGAGCUUUUCGAAAACAUUCACUCUUUGACAUUUCUUGUCGGGAACCCUUAAUUCUGCAACCCACUUCUACCUUUCAAGAAAAUUACAAUUCAAAAUCCAUCCUUAGAAACCUCUCCCAAAUCUUCCUCCAAUUUUAAGAGUGAUUUUAGCAUGAUUUACAGGAAAGAGACAAAAAUUCAAAAUCGUAAAUGGCCAUUAGUUCCUUAAACUCCUAAUCACUUUAUUCAACUUUAAUAAAGCAAGAAGUCAGCUGAAAUUACAGACUCCACCUAGAACUCUGUCAAAGGAGGUGCUCUGCUUCAGUAGACAGGGAAUCCCAUAAAGAAAAGUAUAUGUUUGUGCUUCAAAUGGGAUACCCUAUUUCACCCCGUCAAAUAGAUUUCCAAAAUGAGCAACAAUGUGAUACUCAAAAGCUAAUUAAAGUUACCAUGAUACGGACUGAUCCCAAUUAACCAAGGAUUAUGACAGUUGCCCAGAUACUCUGGUCUUAAAAGCAAGUUAUUGUAACCCACCCCAGAAAAAGAAAAAUAGUCUACAGCAAAAUAAUCAUUGAAAAUAAGGCAGAGAGAUUUCUGAAGAACGCAGAUCGUACUUGCAAGUAGAAAGCCCGCGCUUGCACAGUGGAAUUCGUGUUGAAGGAGAGUCAUCGACAGGCUUCCAAAUUGAUUCUACAAUCAGUUUUGGUUCUUUCUUGUUUUUAAAGCAUAUUUUAUUUGCCCUUUCAGGUGUAAACCAGUUUUAAUUCAGCCCCAGUAGUUUAUGAUAUUAGUACACACGAACUAGUGCAAGGAGUGGAAAGAUCUACUACAAUGUGUUCAUAUUUGGUUUUAUUUGAUUUGAUUCAUUUGAUGAACCACUUCUAUUGAGAUUUCAUCAACAAGAGAGUUUGAUUGAGUAAUUUUGUUUGUCUAGCCAUUGGAUUUUAGAAGAUAAAACAAUUUAUGAACAUUUUCUGACUCGUAGAAGACUUAAAAUAAAGGCUACAGGUACAAUUAUCAUGUUAUUUUAAGUUUACAUUCUGAAAAAUGGAGUUGAAGAUUUUUUAUGGAGUGUUAUUGAUAAUUAGAAUGAGUUUAUUCGAAUAGAAAAUUAUAUUUUCAAAAAAAUUUAUAAUAAUACUAUGUCACUUUUUUCCCAUAGUUGUCCAAAAAAUAAAAAAUUAUUAAACAACAAGAAUUUGUUCUAUUAAACAUUUGAACUCUUUUUGUUUAAGAGCAUAAAUUGCAUUUUAUGUUACAAGUUUUGAUUUUAUCUUUCUCUAGGACGCUUCUAAUAUUAUUGUCUUUCCACCUAUUUUGAAGUAACAAUAGCCAAUUUUAAGUUUAACAAUUUGCAUUUUCUAAUCUUCAUUUAUCAUGAACUCCAAAAUAAAAAAUAUUCGUAGAGACGUCAUAAAACAUGAUUUGAACACAUCAAAUAUGCAUGAAUAACUACUAUAAUGAUACGAAAAUACAUCCUACAUUCAACACCUUUCUUUCAUUUUUGUGUGUAUAUAUAUAUUCUCCAAAUACUAGUAGCCUUAGGAAAUUAUUAAAAUCUCAAGCAAGGCUAGUUCCCCCUUUGUUUUAGUUUCCAUUGCCAGAAAAUUCAAGCAAAGCAAUAUAUAAAUAAAGAAAAAAAAAAAAAAAAAAAGGGAUGAAGAGUGGCAUUUGGGCCGUGAUGAAGCAGUCUUGAAUAAGUGUUAGUUGGACUAGAUGAGGAGAUGUCAUCUUUGAAUUGGGUCGGUGGACUGAAUAUGGUCUCUACCUCUCUGUCUCCAUCGGCCGUCCUUCUUAUCGUACACGUGCCCCAACAACUCAUAAGAGUCCAAAAAAGACCUCAAGUAAUUGAGUCACCCUCGAAAUCUUGCUGUAUGCGGUGGGGCCAUUGAGAGUGAAAAGAGAAGAGCCCAUUUUGUUUCUCUCUACGGUGGUUACAUACUUUGGGCCCUUUCAACUCACAAGAGUCUUAUCAUGAUGUGGCCCCCAAGGCCAAGUGAAAAAAAAAAGUAAUUUUUACUACAUGGAGUAGUACGCCACCUAAUUAUUAUUAGAGUAAAACAUUGGAGCAACGACCUAAUUUCUCUUAUUAGAUGGAAUAAGUAAAAACAUUGGGCCGCAGGGGAUUAGUCGGGCUCCGUAAGGAUUGACUCGGAUACCCCUGUAUCGACCCAAAAAAAAAAAAAAAGUAAAAACAUACUACGAGAGAGGUACUAACUUUUGAGUUAGUCCAUAUGGGUGUUAUCGUAAACUUGUUGUUAAGCAACAUCCUCCCCUUUCUUCUUCGGAAUAAAAAUCAAUGGGUAAUGACUCAUUUUGAAUGAACGAACUAAUUGGUGGGGAUUCGUUGCAUUUCUUCAAUUAUAAUCUAACCUUCAAUCUCCAUGAAUGUUAGCAACUCUUCUUCCUUUUAUCUAGAAUUAGAUUGUCGGCAAAGAGUUUAGGUCCCGUGUAAAUUGAUAUUUUUCGAGAUUUUUAUAGAAAAAUACAUUAUACUAAUUUGACGUAUAUAAGUAAAAUUUCUCUGUACCAUGGAAUGACUGCCAAUUCCGGUCCAAUCAAUCUCCAUAAUUAGGGCAACAAUUAGAAGUGGAAGGUAGGAAAGGUUUGUUUUUUUUUUUUUUUUUGGGGGGGGGGGGGGGAAGUGGAAGGUAGGAAAGGUUCACACGCUUGAAAUUGUACCCAAAUCUCGUAAUUAUUACAAGCCCAAUGCGCAAGAUAUUUUCUCCUUUUAUUCUUCCUCAUUUGUAAUUUUGAACUCAAGAAGUUGUCAUCCUACCCGGAACAUUUGUACCCAAAUCUAGUACAAUUUAAAUUACGGAAAGUGUAUCAGAAUAAUCCAACGUGGCGCUCAAUUCUUGGGACGGUUUUUUAAUACUAGGAUUUACCCAAGUAAAAUUAAGACACCGGGCAACGAAGCGUCUCUAGUUUUUACCUUUUUCCAUUUGUAGCCCAUUUGUGGUAUCCACCUAUUAGGAGAUCCCAUAUGAUUGUAAAAUAUAUCGGCAUCUUCUGCCAUUCUAUAUAGCUAAUUAUAAAAGAAAAAGAAAAACAAAAUAGACGAUACUAUUUUUUUUAUCAGCAACGAUACAUGUGUAUAACCUACUCUAUCCUAAUCUAGGGGGGAGGGGGAGCCUAAGGAGAUUGUUGUAGGGGGAGGGGGUGAGGGACUUAAUUCCUCCCUGGUGGACUUAAUCCAAAGAGGGACUUAAUCCCUCCCUGGUGGCCACUAGCCAUUGGCCCAGUGGUAAAAAAAUCUAAGAUUUAGAUGAUGAUAUUAUCAAGAUUUAGAUGAUGAUACGCAAUCCACCACCACAAAAGGAAACUUUUUCUCUCUUCUCUCUCUUUUUUUUUUAAAUAAAAAAUAUAUAUAUAUAUAGCAAAAAGUAAAAAAUUGGACAAUCGUACACAUUGGAAAGAUACAGAGUGAAUUAGGAUAAGAUAGUUUUUGUUCAGCAGCAUUUAGUGAGGAUUGACGCAAUCAAUUAAUGACUCAUCCGAAAUUUGUUCGACUUUAAUCACAGCCUAAGGUGGAGGGAUACCGUCUAUCUAUUUUCUCUCCUCUUCUUUCUUUUACUACUUCACUUUUGUCUAUUUCUGUGAGGUUAAUGCUCGAAGGAAGUUAGUUGAACUUUAACAAGAUGUCACCAAAACAUUCGUUUCGUAUCAUGCAUUAUUCCAAAUGGAAUUUGCUUGCUUCACUAAAAUUCUUAAACACACCAAACAAGAUUGUAUUUCUAAGAUACAAAGUAGAAUAAUUAAUGUUUGAAAAUAUUUUCCUUUGGAUUGCAAUUUUUCAAAGUUUUUUAUGAAAAAAAUGUACUGUAACGAUAUAAUUUAUGUGAGAUAAAAGUGUGUGUUAGAAAAUGUGUUAGAAGAAUAUUUUUAAUUUUAUUUUGCAAAAAUUGACAAUCCAAAAUCAUUAAAAAAACAAUAUUUUGAAAAUCAGACUAGAUUGACAGGUUUGUCCAGUCGAACAGCAAAUCGGCUAUACCUUUGGUCCGAUUCAGUGAUUAAUCCGAAAAUUCAAUUGAAUCAAUCAAAUCCAAUCAAUAAUCGAUUGACCGGUAAGAUCGGGAGAUUCAGCCGCAUUUCACUAAUUUUUUAUUUUUUAAAACAAAUAAUUCAGUUUAUUCAAAUAUUUUAAUAAAUAAAAAAAUGAUUAAACUGAGAUUGAAUUGAUUGAAUCAGACUGCGAAUCAGAAUUUCUUUCAGUUCACUCGUGGUUCGGAUUUAAAAACAUUGCUAAAAUGUGAAUAGGGAAGAAAAAGAAAGCGGAGAGUCUUUGAUUUGGGUAGGAUUUUUCCUGCUCGAUGGUCUAACUUCAUUGUGACUGGUGACCCUCCCUCCCAGAUAGUCGCUGGCGCCGACGCGUUACAACUUCAGAAUGCUGGUUGCUGCCUUGCUGGUCUUCAUAGAUCAACUUCAUAGUGCUCUGCUUUCAUUCCACCUGGCAACUGAAAAGCAUCAUCGAAAUCGACCAUUCGUCUUCUUCAUUGGGAGAUUUUUUUUUUUUUUUUUUUUUAUUAUUAAAGUUGUAAGGGUCGAAUAGCUUGCUAGAGAUAAGCCAAUCAAGGAUCAUGUGUUGUUUGUUUAUUUUGGGAUGUGAUUAAUCACUAGCAAAUUAAUUUAAAUGGUUCGACAGAACAUUAGAUCUAUGCCUUUGAGUGCCCACCUGUUUGCUGUCUUUGCCUGCUCUCUACUGUCAACCUUUUCUCAUCAUUCUUCCUUCGCUGGAGGAAGAUUUUAAUCUCAAAUUAAGGCCUUUUGUCCUCUUCCUCUAUUUUUAUUUUAUAUUUAAUAAAAUCUCUCAUAGAAUAUUCUAGUGAGACUUUUUUCUCUUCUAACCUAUCAUAGCUAGUGGAAGUCUUAUUUAGUUUUAAUUUUUUUUUUCAGAUUUAAGAUUUUUUUCAUAUCUGUAUGUGAUAUAAAAUAUUUUGAAUCUUCUAAUUAGAUCUCAACAUUAAUUUUGAAUUUGAACCAGUUAUUUAGUUUUUUUUUUUUUUUUCAGAUAUAAGAGUUUUUUCAAAUCCGUAUGUUAGAUAGAAUAUCUCGAGUUUUCUCGUCAGAUCUCAAUAUUAGUUUUGAAUUUGGACCAAUUGAAUAGCAGAUAUCAGAGAAUAAAUAUGCACAUAUAUUUAUAGAACAACUUUUGCAAUUGAUUAGAUCUUAUAAUUUUUGAUUCACAGUGUAAUCUGUUAUAUUUUGUAAUUCUAUUAAAUUUAAUAAUUUAUCAGAUCAUAUAUAUAUAUAUAUUUGUGACAUAUGCAAUGUAUUUUCUAACAUUAAUGCAACUUUCUUUAUUGAUUUCCAACUAAUUUAUUAAUAAUAUUGACUUCUAUUUUAUAAAAAAAAUAGUUCGACGAGGCGUAGGUAACCCAAGUCGCCAAUCACUGGUUCAUCUAAUUGUAAGAAUUCUCUAAAGGAUCGAGAACGAGUCUGCUUCCCAAACUACUGCGGUUGGCAAGUGGCAACAUAUGUUUGCGCGGUAUGCUAGUCGGUGGUUGCUUUGGGAGAUGCCGAAUAUUGGGAUCGACAUAGAAGCAAAUUAUGCAUGGCUAGCAAAUUCUACCACUUGUAUACUCGAAUCGACUUGGUUUAGUUGGGUCUGUACACCUUAGGGGUGCAAACGAAUCGAACCGCUCGUGUCAAGCUCGACUCGAGUUCGAGCUGGCUCGAGUCGAAAUCGAGCUCGAACUCGAGUUCAAAAUAUUAAGCUCGUUAGCUCGCGAGCCGGCUCGAGUAUAUAUAUAUUUUUUAUAUUUUUUAUUUUAAGUAUAUAUAUAUUUUUUUGUUUUAAAUAUAUAUAUAUUUUUUAUUUUAAGUAUAUAUAUUUUUUAGAUUUUUUUAAUUUUAAUAGUAAAAUUACAUAUAUAUCUUUAAUAUUUUAUUAUUUAUUAAAAAAAUAUUUAUUUUAUUUAUUUUUAAAAAAUAAAAUAAUUAUUUUUUAUUUUUUUGAGCUCGAGCUUGAAAUUGUGAGCUCGUCGAGCUCGAGCUCGACUUCAAUGAAAUUAUGUCGAGACUCGACUUGAUUAGGCCAAAACUCGACUCGACUCGGCUCGUUUGCAGCCCUAAGUACACCAACUAGUCCCUAACACAAGACUCUUUAGGCUCCCCCUCCCCCAAAUUAGGAUAUAAUAGGUUAUACAAUGUAUUGUUGCUGGCAAAACAAAAAAAAAAAGUAUACUUGACUGCUUGCUUUGUCCAUUCUUCAUCAGCGAUAAAAGAAGAAUUAAUCCGCUGGCAAUAAAAUUUCUAAUUCGACUUUUUCUUUUUCCUCCUGUUGUUAUUUCAGUUCUUUUGUUUGUAAAACUCCGAGUCUACUUUAAAUUAGGAAUAAUUUCAAAAAAUCUCCCAUGAGAACUGUGACAAUUUUACCUAGCUAAUUUGUCUCUAAUUUUAGAAAUUACACCUAUCUCUCCUGACAUACCGACUCACCGAAAAUAACUUUCACUUUUACACUAUUUUACAUGGACUAAAAAAAAAAUUGUAUACUUAAAAGUGGAAAAAAAAAGAAAACCUUAUUGAAAAAUAUUUUUUUAUGAAAUUUCAAAACAAUUGCUAUUUGACAAAAAAAGUAUUUUAGUGGAUGCUUUGAUUCUGAAUUUUACUCAAAGUAAUUAACAUAAAUGUGGGUGUAAAAACCGCGAUAUACAAAGAGAAGAGUUUUUUUUUUGGUCCCAUUGGUAGACUACGAGUUUUGGAUUUCUAGAGCGUCUCUUUUUGGAUUUGUUUUUCUGGUCGGAGAGUGCAUGUUGCCUUAGGAUUAUCAUAGUAGCAACACAAAUGGAAUUGUUAGAACGUAGUGGCUUGGCUGUAGCACUAAAUAUAAAAGAGUGUCAGAGAGAGGGAUGGUUUUUAUUUUUAACAAGGAUAAUAUUUGUGUCAUUUUAAAGAUUUAUUUUGUUAGCCAAGUCCCAAACAGUAAAUACAAGAGAGGUUAGUGUCUUUAAAAGAAUUUGCAUGAAAUUAUUAGAAACCUCAAGGGAAAUAUCGGAAAUUAUCCCUUUAAACUAUAAUAAAAUAAAAUAGUACUACCGCCUUGCGCUUCCUAGGAACUACGUACAUCCCUGGGAUGAGCAUGCGUGCAUGGUUAAUACUACUGCUACAUAACAAGCACGAGAAGCAACCUCACCAAAUUCUUUCCUUCUUGUUUGGUGGCAUGAUUAAUUUCUUCGGAUCCUCGUAUUAAGGUUUUUUUCUUUUUUUUUUUAACUGUUUUUUUUAGGGGUUUAUAUGAUAGUCCAGAAUCCAGAUACGUAGUACUUCUUUUGUUAAUCUCAAGGGACCCCAGUGAAUGCGUACCUACCUACCAAUUUAAUUACUAAGCUCAAAAUGGACAUGCAUGCACCAAACAAGUCUUGAUUCACCCGUUUCUUGUCUUUUUAAUUUCUGAUUUUCUAAGACGAGUAAUCUUAAGCAGAAAACCUCUAUUUACGAAUUAAUUCCAAUGAUGAUACUAAUUUCUUCUCUAGUCUGUAAAGAACCCGCUUUCAAUAAUUGCCACACUACUACCUGAUUUUUUCUCAAUCCCCCCUCCCUCGUUGUGUCUAAGCACGAUUACUGCUAACUCAAAUUCAGAUUAGCUACGGACAUGAAUAUCAAUUUUAUCAGUCAGAAACUAUCAACCUCAUAUAUAUAUAUAUGUAUAUAUAUAUAUUGCUGACUAACUCUCACGCGCGUGCGUGCACACACAUAUAAAGUCGAAUUUUAUUAAAGCCGGUCAAAAGUUUCUUGCAAUUUUUUCUUUCGUCACUGAAGAAAAAGAAGCAAAUGUUGCUGUCACCCGGCCUUUCUGUGGGUUAGAGAAAUAGAGGUUAUCUCUUGUUGGAUAAGUAUAACUGCAUGAUUUUGUUCCCGUGAGGCACUUAAGCUUUACGUAUAUGUUUCAUGGUUAUCAACCAAAAAAAAAGAAAUAUAUGUUUCAUGUUUACUAUGGUACGUGAUUUCAUGUAUGUCCACAAAGCUGGCGGCUUGUUCUUGACUUUGAGAUUAUCUUUUCCUUUUUUUUUUUUAUCAGAAAUUGAUUUUGUGAAUUUCUUCGUCUUCUUCUAUGGUUGAUAUAAUUUGUUGACGUUUUGUGAUUUAACAAAUGCACAAUAGACAUGCACACUAAUUAGUUAACGGAAUAUCUUUGUUAAAAUCAAAAUCGACAUAGUCACCGUACAUAUAUAUGAGAGGAGAGCUUGGGGUUGAAUUAAAAGGAUUAUCAGUCUAAUGAUUAAUAUUGAGAUUGUAAGAAUUAGAAAUUUUAAAUUCAAUUUCUUCUUUUCUCUCAUCGCUUCCUAAAAAAAGAAUUAAACGGAAUAAUUUAUUGAUCAAGUGAUGUGCUUUAGAGAGUCGUAUUAAGACAAAUUCUGCCCUGUUAUAUGUACCCAAACCUAAAAAAGAAACGGGUUGCAUUCCAUAAUCGCAAAAAGUUAUGGGACCAAAAGCAGAAGAAGAAAAAAGGAUUCACAGGUGAAUUGCCAGCAUAUCGUGGACCAAACCCAAAAACCGAAUUGAAAAAAAAAAAAAAUCUAAUUACAACUUUGACUCUUAACAAAAAUAAGCUUUCAUCUAUCAGCUGACUUGUCCAAAUAGCUAAGGGCACACAUUCAUAACUGUAAACUGCACAUAAUUUGAAUUCAAGGUAAGAAAUAUGGACCAAUUUGACAUGCCAGAUGCCUUAUGGUGGUCAAAGAAUUGAAUGUCUUGUUGCACACACACACACACAAAAAAAAAAGGUAAAUAAAGAAAAAUUGAUGAAUCGCAAAAUGGUACAUUUAGGAGGGCACAGCAACAUGCAUGGUGUGGUCUUGUAUAUAGUUUUUGUUUCCGGGAGGGGGCUGCCUGUAGAUUUACAUUUACCACUGCAGUCUGCAGGAAGGAAGCAUUAAGUGGCAGCAGUAUAAGAUUCAAGAAUUCAUUCAUGUACUUGACGAAAUUUGGAAGCAUUCUUAAAGAUGUAUUUCAGCUGGCUAUUGAAAAUGAUCGGUAAAUUCCAGUGUCAUGAUAUGUGGACGGCGUGUCGUGUACAUUUAGCUGCUAACCAAAAUUAAUUACUACUUAUGUGAUGUGAAAGUUUAGCUGAUGAUUAGAUUAGCCUUAUCAAUUCAGAUUCCACGUAAGUUUUUAUCCCUUCAAUCUUCAUGUUGCUGAUGAACUGUCCUUUAACUAGCUUUUGUUCACCUACUUCCAAAGUCCAAUCAUAUAUUUAUGGACUUGAGUUCGACGGAACUGAAGAUUAAAGCCACCUGCUCACAGAUUAUGCCGCUGUUUUAGCUACAGCUCACGGGUUUUGGCCAAUUAAUCCCUCCCAUCCAGUUACACUUUUUAUAGCUUUGGGGUAUCAAGAAUUGGACACACCACCUACAAGCAAGGCUGGCUAGCUUGUGCAGGCAUUAGUAGAGUACCACAGCUAUUGUAUUGAAUUAUAAACAAGGGUUUGGAUAACGAGAAAUUUUUUUUGUUGAAGGAAAUACCCUUACAUUAAUAUUAGCAGUAUUACUAACCAUUAUAACUUUACAUUAAAUUAUAACAACAAUAUUGAUGAAAAGUUAUCUCAUUUAAGGCAAUGAAUCAAAACAAUUAUUAAUGAUUAAAGUAGGUUAUAUUCAGGGAUAACAAAGCAUAUUAAGUAAGCGCUUUUUAGAGAAAUUAAAAGUCAGUAACAGUACUAUAUUUUUUUAUUUAAUUAAAAAGUGGAUUAUAAUUUAGGACGGAUGAAAGAGAAAAAUGAAACUAUCAAAGUGAGACGGAAAAAAGAACUAUGACCAUGCGCAUUCACAUUAUAAAUAAAUUAAACGUAACUUUGUUUAUAUACAGCCACGGAUUUAAGGGGGGGCUGGUGGGGGCUUAAGCCCCCCCCCCCAAGCCGCCGGAAAACCCCCUAUAUAUAGGGGAUUCCGGCGGCCAGCCCAGCCAGUUGGGCAGUGACGGCAACGUGAAUAAUCAACAAGAUGAAGAAGACCUUGUGGAUUAUUCUCACUUUCUGUUUGAGCCUGAUCCUCCAGGUCUUUUUUGAGACAAAUAAAUAGAGGCAAAUGGCAAUAGUAGUAGCGAGUGAUACACACACACAUCCAUUUUCUUUUCAUGACAAAAUUGUGUAGUGUUUUAUACUGGCAAGUACUUCAGCGGAACCUAUGGAGGAUGAUGACAAUCUAAGUUUUGUUUUCCCCUUCCUAAAAAUCUUUCUUAUUCAAGGACAAUUAAGAGUAUUUGGUGUGGAUGAGGCCAAUAAGGCGGACGCGGGAGUCGUCCAACUUACCCAAUUCGGAACUGAAAGACAUUGUAGGCAUUAAUGCAGGGAAAUAACAUGAGAAGUACUUGCAAUCUUCUCAAGUAAAACUCAAAAAACUGAUGAGGCUGUAGACGACAUUAAUUUAUUUUCUUUUCUUUAUUUGUUUGGUUUAGCAAAUUUGUGUGAAGAGAUCAUGUCCCCCAUGAUGACUUGCGAGUUCAUAAACCCAUGAUGACCAGCGGGGGCUUUUCUACCAAUUCAAGCAUUUUAAAUUUGGGAACCUUUACUCAAUUCUUCAAUAAUGCCUUGCUAGGUUAAGAGGAAUAAUCACACACAUCGCUUUUUUAAUAAUGAUAACGGGCCGGAUAAAUACGUAUGCGGCCUGCAAAUCCUUCAAUUCAAUGCUUUCUAUUUCGAACCAUUUGGUACUUAUUGGAGAAGUCUAUGUAUAGAAAAUAGAUGUAGAUUUAUUUUGCAAUUAAUCAUUUAAUUGCCCGACCAAGACCAAUGGUCUUCUUCCUUCGCUUUUUCUUUUUCAGGAUGCAUAAAACUCCGAAACUGAAGAAGACAGAAGAAUUGUUGGGAACCUUAUCCCAUACUUGGCAUUAGUUCUACCAGUUGCGACUGCUUCUGUUGAAAGAGUAUUUUCUGCAAUGAAUAUUGUCAAGACUGAUUUGCGCAACAAAAUGGGAGACGAGUGGAUGAAUGACUGUCUGGUUGUAUACAUCGAGAAGGAUAUUUUUGCAACAAUUGAAAAUGAGCAAAUAUUGCAGCGUUUUCAACGGAUGAAGACUCGCAGAAUGCAAUUGCCUCCUCUUCGUUAUUCGAGUGCAACAACUACCAAUACUUCAAGUGUUAAUCAAUAACAAAUUUUUGGGUAUGUAUAAUUAUAUGUUUUUAUUAUUUUUAUAAUUAUUGAUUCUAAAUUUUACUUAUUAAAUAUAUUUAUUUCGUCACAAAAAAAAAUUUUUAAUACACUUCAGCCCCCCAAAAAUAAAUUUCUGGCUCCGUCCCUGUUUAUAUAAGCAUGGCAAAUGAAGCGGUAUGUCUCAAAGGAACACAACGUUUGUGUUACCAAGAAUACAAAGAAGCUAGCUAGCACUGACUCAUUAAAUUGAGUUUGAUUCGAUCUAUCAAGAAUUUUAAUGGCAGUUAGUUCAUUAGAAUCCUCAAUCGCUAUUGGGAACGGGAAGUUGUCAUUCUUAUAGUAGUAGAACCUCAUUCAAAUACGUGAGUUUUGGUUGAACCCUCAAGUCUAACCUGGCAUUCCAUUCCCUUGAAGAAGACAGGCAAAAGCUCAACAGCCCACACCACAAAAAGGGCAGUAAUAAGUUGCAGUUGAGGACUGUAAAACUGUAAGAAUCAAGAAGAAUAGGACAAAACAAGAGUUUUUUUUUUUUUUUUUUUGGUGAGUUCAAAAAAAAAAAGAGAAAAAGAAAAAGAAAAGCAAACCAACCAAGUACUACGACUAAGAAGAAAUAUGAGUUUAUUAUUUCGAAAUUGAAAGCCACAGGGGGUACGUGGCAUUGAAAGAGCAGUAGAAAUCAAUAUAGUACUAUGUCAGUAGGCUAAGCUACUCUCCCGUCCGUAUUUCCUGCUCUAAAUUUCUCUUCCUCUGCCAUGCUAAAUUAAAAAAAAUGCUCCGUGGAGGGUCCCACGCCCCGACUCCCUUCCCUUUGUACUACUACCACGUCAUUAUUACUAUUUCACCCUUUUAAGAGUUUACAACCCCCACCCUGUUCUCUUGCUUCUAUUUAUUUUUCUCAUCUUUUCAUUAACUGUAUCAUACCAAAUCCCACCACCAGGCACCAGCUCUAGAAGAAGAAGAAGAAGAAGGAGAAGAAGAAGAAGAAAGGGCUGGAGGAGAAAGACCAUGAAAUGGUGGGACUAAGCGUUGUACUAGAAGCAGAAGGAUACGAGGAUAUCAGUAGCAAGAGAAGUGCUCAUCACCAAGUUAUUAGCAAAGCCAGCAUGAUCAUCAAACCAUCUCCUUCUUCUCCAACUCCUCCUACUUCUCCUUCUCCCUUCACAAAAAGGAACAGCUCCUUUAACCUCUCAUGUGGUACUAGUGGAUUUCUUGACUAUUGUUUCCUUUGCAGACAGAAACUUUUGCCUGGCAAGGACAUCUAUAUGUACAAGUAAGUGCUUCUCAUGAUUCACUCCCGUCUUCAACCCUCCAAAUAUAUUUCAACAAGUUUUCGACUUUUUUUUUUCUCUUGCCUGGUGCAAAUUAUUACUCCUAAUAUGAAGUAAAGGUUUACUUGUAGCCCUCUUGGUUGCCUCCUCCAUGCACCAAAGAGGAAGAAUUUUUUCAGAAAAAUUAGAGAUAAAAACACGAAAAAAAAGAGAAAAAUCUUUGAACCACUAUAUAGGCAUUUGAAGUUCCACUUCAUUUGGUUGAUGCUCCAUGUUUGAGCUGGUUUUGCAAGUGAAGAAACCCCCAACCAAAAAAAAAAGCUGUAAAUUCCUCUAGGGUUAAAAAAAAAUUCCAGAGAAAGGAAGAAUGAAAAGGAAAGGGGAUAUAUCUGAGACUGGAGGAAUCUUUCUUUUCUUUCUUUCCUAGUCACUCAAGUGAUUGUCAGCAUCAAUAAUAUGUUGAUAUUUUAACCAAGAAAAACACAAAUAAGCUUAAUAUGGGUCUUUUCUUUUUCUUUCCUUUUUUUUUUAUAAAAAUAUUUUGACAGCUUGAUCUGGAUAUAUAUGUUGACAGAAAUUUACACAGCUGGUGGGUCUUUAUGUAUGCAGAGGUGACAGGGCUUUUUGCAGCGAGGAGUGCAGGUGCAGACAGAUAUUCAUGGAUGAAGAAGAAACUAUUAAGGCUAAAACUGACCACUGUUCAUUGGCUGCUUCAUCAUCUAAUUCCUCUUCUCGUAAAGGGGCCAAAAAAAGAGCAAAUGGUUUUGCCUAUUAGUAUAACUUUAGUGGAAAUUUUUUUUUUUCUUUCUUGUUUUUCUUUUGGCUUAUCUCUAGUUUUGGCUUUUGCCUCAUUUUGUAACGACUCUCGGGCCGACCGGGUUUUGGUUCUUAGCAUGGUUUGCAGCUAAGAAGGCUCUUGGUUUUGGUUUUGGCAAAUAGAUUGCAAGAACAUGAUUGGCUUUUUGGCCAUGUAAUGUCCACGAUGAGAGACUAGGAAUAUUUGUUUGCGUUUUACUUGCUGCUACUGUUCAAUGUCAAAUGUAGGUAAGGAAACGCAUACAUCUUAUCUGUUGUUGAUUGGGAUGUCUAUCUUGUUUCAAGGGUUGACCAUCUAAAAUCUUAUCAGUGCGAGUAAUCCUAGAUUUGUGUUCUGCCUGAUCGCUAAUAAACUAAGACUAAUGGUGCCCUGUUACCUAUGAUAAACAUUAGGCUUGCUUUUUUUUCCUUUCUUGGAGAACUUGUGAGAUUCAUACCAUUUAAAUAAUUUUUUUGUUUUUUGUUUUUUAAAAAACAGGGCUUCAUGACUAUGCCUUAGUUAGUGUGUGUGUCUGUGUGUGUACUUGGGAGGACCUCUAUUCGGUGUUGUUGGGGACACAGGGCACAGAUGAUUGUUUCACCUGUAGUUUUUGGUGGUUCUUUUUGUCUUUUGCUUUAUAUCUAGUUUUUUUUUUUUUUUUUGGGUUUGGGUUUUUGCCUUUAAAUUAUUGACUGGAAGAGAUGGCUGGCUUUCUCAUUCUCAUUUACGAGGUACCAAAUCUGUGGAAAGAAUUAUUGCGGAGGAUAAGCAUAAGCAUUGUGGACUGGAGGAUACAAGAAGACAUAAAUCAACGAGUGAGUGGGCGAAAUCAAAUAUCUGGCAAUUGUGGGUGCCCAUGCCCAUUCUGGGGAGGGUCUGCAUUCCCAAGAGAAUGAUUAUCUAAUUAGGAAUAACGGGGCCCAACCCAAAAAGCGCUUAUUUCCCCAUAUUUUGCUUCUAGCUCCUUCAAACCUCUUAAGGCUCCCGAUUAACAUCGAUCGACGUGGACCGUUUUGACCGCCUCUCAUUUGGCUCACAGGGGCAGGCAAGGCAAUCCAACAUUAUCUCGCACACCAAGUAAACGAAGGUGUGUGUAAUUCUCGCGCCUUCCUUCAUCUUCCACCCUUCCUUCUUUUUUUUUCCAAUUCAUGCCAAGCUCCCACGCAAAAAAGAAAGAAGAAAAUACAGAAAGACAGAGUAAUGAGCUACGGAUUUCUUGGCUUUUAUUUAUUUAUUUAUUUUUUAUGCAGCAGGCAGGCAGGUGGAGCAGAGGAUUUAGAACUUCAAAGCAAGGUCAUCAAUUAGAAUCCAAAACAGAAGGACCAUAGAAUCUAUACCAUUCUGUGUGCCCACGAGGCUUUAGAACCAUAAAUGUGAUUUGAUUCUCUGUGGGAGACAAGGAUGAACAAGGGCCAAGGGGUCAGGGGGCCCAUGCAACCAUUUCAGAAAGAUUAAAAUGUCUAAAAUUUUGGCAACUUUAAAGUCCAACAACAUAUGUCCAGUAAAAAUGGAGUAUUUUUUUUUUUUUUUAAACAUCAAUUUUCACGCUACGUGUCAAUUGACUGAACAGAUUUCGUCAUUUGGCAACAUAUUUUAAUUUAAUAGAACCACCUACAAUGUACAGCUUGUGAAAAAUUUUAUACUCCAUCUAAUGUUAUUAUUGGAAAUAACAAUAUAUAAUUCGACUGAUAUUUGUUCCUAACCCAACUCCAGGUAGAGAGAUUCUCAUACACUCUUCGAUUGGAAUCUUUUGGGUUCACCUUGCAGAACUCCACUAUAUAUAGUGGGGUUUGGUCCACGAAGAUCUUCCUUCGGAAAGGGACAGUUUUGGCCCAGCUUGGAAUUUCGGUAUCCCGAUGUCAAUUAACUUAUUAAGAGCACGUCUUUUCAUUUCCAUUGUACUCUCAAGUCUCAACCCAUCUUUUUUUUUUUUUUGGUUUUUCUCACAAAAAAAAAAACCCAUCCUUGUAUCUCUUUUUUGACACUAGUACUAGUACUGUUCUGAUUAUAAUAAUAAGUUUUCCAAAUCUUGAUAGCUAACAGGAUCGCAAAAGAAAUCACAAGCCAUUGUACUCCCGUCCGCAACAAUCAAAGCAUUUGUUAUAGGACCUCUCCCUUGUCAUUAUUGUCCGUAGUUAAAGUGCACUCCCCAAAAUAUCCAAGAAAUGGGAAAACCCCGUGGUUAUUUUUACAUUCUAUCAUCUCUACGCCACGCAUAUCAAGGAUUUUUUUCGGUUAUUCAUGGAGGAGUCCAGUCGAAUAAAACGGAAGUAGAAAAUUGCAAGGGUCGAGCACUCGAGCCGUAUCGAAGUACUGGAAAUCUACCCUUGCUCUAUAUUUACAAUUAAAAAGACUUCACCCUUGUGAUCAUAUAUAUACUUCAACCUAAGAGCCAAAUGCGAUUCAGCUAUGAGAAAGCAUCCUCGAACGAAUUUCUUCAUUUAUUUGUGUGAAUUGCCAGUUUUAAUGGCCUUCCGUUCGGUAAUAUAGCAGCUAUGCUUGGUUAGAGUAACGCGCUAGGCAAGCUCUCGUAUCUGUAUCAAGGAUCUCAUUGGACUUCCAAACUAAAGAUAAUUUUAAGCAGGCUGGAAGUAUUACAUGGCACCAGGAAAUUAAGCGGCAAUAGACAUCCAAGGAAUCUGAGUAACAAAAGCAGGCUUAAACAACGUUCCAUUUCCAGAACACAGAUAAAGGGCAGUAUCAACUUUCAACCAUUUUAGCCCCUGAGAAGGCAAGUUCAGUCUAGAGGUCAAAUAACUUUUUAUAACCCCAGAACCUGGAAAUCAAGGCAACGAGGGUCACUGGGAUUAAAAGAAAAAAAAAAAUCAUCGAUAUGUUUGCACAGAUAUGAAUAAUGGUGUUUCACUCCCUUAGUUCACAGUGACCAUGCUCUAUAUGCUUCCUUCCAUCUUCUUGUUGAUUGACAAGCAAAUGUCAAACAAAAUGUGGACAUAGUGCAGUUAAGUCCUCUGAUGUUCAGACACAGACAACAUAGGUCAAAACAAAUAUACAAGUACAUGAAUGUUCCUCUCAAUAUUCUGCACUCUAAAGUCUUUGAAUCUUACAUACAACUACAAGAUAUGUUGUAACCGUGAUGAUUAGCAACCACUGUUGAAUAUCACCACACUUAGCCAGAUUUGAACAGAAGUACAGCUUUUGAAUCCA
rnacentral:lncRNA from 1 species